GAGAUCCUAUAAAUAAAACUCUUUGCUUCCUCAUUUCAUUUCCAUCAUCUUAUAAUACAAAGUCAUAACUUCAAGGUCCUUAAAACUAGGGAAAAACAUAAGAAGAAAAUAAUAAUUAUUGAGUGCAUGAACAAAAACUAAAUGACAACAAAUGGAAUAUUCUAGCAUAAGGUAUAUUGUACAAUUCUCUUGUUAGAGAAAGAACUCAUUUAUCUCAUUAGAAUGUUUUAGAUCGGUACACAAUAGCUUUUACGACACCUAACAUUAGCUCUUCGAAGUUUUGGGCAAUCUUUAUUUGUUUUACAAUCACUAAGAAUAAGGCUAAAGUGCACUUUUUGCCCCCUAUGUUUCAUAAUAUUGCGAUUUUGGCCCCUUAUUUAAAAAAAAUAGCAAUUUUUGCCCCUUUCAUCCCAUAAUUGCUCAAAAAGGUGCCACGUGUUCUAGAAAAGGGGUCAUAAUCGCAACUUUUUGUAAAGAUAAGGGGUCAAAAAACAUAUUUCCCUUAUGUUAUGGGUCAAAAGAGCAUAUUUCCCUAAACAUAGGGGGUCACUUUUGUCAUUUUUUUAAUAGGGGACCAAAAUCGCAACAUUUUGAAAUUUAGGGGGCGAAAAGUGGUGUUUAGCCUAAGAAUAAUCAUCUGUCUAAAAAAAAAAUAUAGAAAGAAAAAAAUUAUGACAUAAUCUAACUUCGGAGUUUCAACCAUAUUUUUUCCUAUUUGCAUCCAAAGAAUAGUAAAUAACUUGAUUUCUUUAUAGUGUAUAGUAAAGUUCAUGGUCUUAUAGAAAUAAUUAAAUAGUUUAAGCAAAAUAAAAUUUUAAAAGCUCUUUAGAAUUUUAUAAUUAUUACUAAAUGUCUCUUAAAUAUGUCUUCAUGAGCUUAACUUAGUUGAUAUGGACAAUGCAUAAUAUAUGCCAGGUCCAGGGUUUGAACCUCAGCCACCACCGAAAAAAAUGUGUCUUAAAUAUAUCAAUGUGUUAUUUUUGUUCAUUUAGCACACAUAGAAGGACUUCAUGUGAUAAAAAUAAAAAUCAAUAUAAUUGAGUGCAAUUUUACAAACUUUAUAUUACUUUUUCCCCUAAAUAAUUGUAUUAUUUUUUUAUCCUCUAGUGAUGGUAAAGGGGAAAACAAUUAUACCAUCGUAAAGUUAUGUACGAAUAUAAAGCACAAUUAAAUAUUUAUAAACAAGUAGAACAUAUGUUAUGUUAAUUACUAAUGAAGUUAACUACGUCUAACAUAAUACGACCAUGCAUAGAAUAAGAAAGCAACCUAUUGAAGGAAUAUUGCCUCAACGCAUGAACAAAAAGAUGUUAUAAAAUGUUUUUCAUAUACUCUUAUUAAUUGGGAAAUGAACUAUGAAUAAGUUUUUUAGCAAUCACAAACAUACUCCACCUUGUUAUAUGCAAAUUGAUAACCAGUAAAUAAAUUGAUUAUCACGUUGCACUUAACUGUUAUAUUGGACAAGUAAUUGAGUGAUUGCAUUGCCUUUAACAUCUAAUCUGUGUUUAUUUAGGAUUUUAUAGUUUUAAGUGUUUUUAGUACUUUGGAACUAGUAAUGCUUGUUUAUCAUGUUUAAUGAUGUAGGUUAAGGAACGGCUCUGAAGUGUGGAUUGAAGAUGUAUCGCUGAAGAUGUGUAAAGCUGCAGCAUGUAACACCUUAAACCCUUAAAGCAAUAAAUUACACAAAUAGUAUAAAACAUACAAAGGAUUUAGAUGCUACUUCUUCUAUAAGUUUUGAAACAUGCAUAAUUAAUUUUUCAGAACAUCACAACGGAAUAAUAAUAUCAUCAUAACUCAUCACAUCACCAAAGUAGCAAUGACGCAUAAUCAUAUAAUACAUCUCCAGAAUAAAUCUAACAUCUCAACAUACUGAGUGAAUAAAAUCUCGACAAGUCAUAGAAUGUAAAUAACAGACAGACACCCAAAUUAGAGCUGACACACUAAGACUCUGAAAGUAAAAGACGAGGUAGCUAUAAAGCUAGCCUCCAGCAACUCAACAAGUAAAACAAAACUACUCUUGCACACCGUCUACGCAUCCAUACGAAUAAGGUAGGUAGUCAACCAAACGACCAUUGGGGGUUAGUUCACAUUUCACAAUUAAAGUAUAAUCAAAUGAAAAUGAACGCCAUAAUUAAAUUCAAAUGAUUAAACAACGUAACACUUAAGCAGCUCAACAUCAUCAAUCAUAUAAGUAUAACAAUACACAAGUACAUUUUCAACAUCAUCAUAUAUUCACCAAAUUUCACCAAGCAUGUAAUUCACCAAGUUCACCAAUGCACAUAAAUCACCAAGCACAUAAACAAAUAAGACACAUUUAAUCAAUUAUCAAAUGUAUGUAAUGCGCCUAAAAACGACUCUAUAUGCAUGUGCUACUAGUCGUCACCUCAAGAUACAAAUGUAUCAUAGUCGUUAUCAUUUGAAUACAAAGUAUUAUGGUCGUCUUCGUUGGAUAUAACAUCCCAGUCGUCUUUAUUGGGUAUAAAUAUCCUACUUAUAAAUGCAUGACAUACGACUCGACAAUGUAUACGUUCAACACCAAAUUAUCAUCAUUUUUCAUACAUGCAUUCAUCAGCAAUUAUGUCUUCAUUUUGCAUGUUCUGAUUCAUCAACAUAAAUCAUCAUCAUCAUCAUCAUAAUCAUUAUCAACAACAAUCAACUGAAGAACCAACAAAGUUCCAAAAUCACAUUUUGCACAAAAGACGAAAAAUUAUCCACAUCAUGACAUUCAUCAAAUUAAACACCCACUCAUUGUGGAUUCAUUCUUAUUAUAUCAUAUCAUCAUGAAUAUAAAGCCAAUUGCAAGUUAUCCGAUCAUAAAACCUCAUUUCAACAAAGUUCAUCUAUUUUCAUAAAAUUGACCAUUUUCAAUUUUACCAACCAAAUUAGGGUUCAAAGUUCUUUCAUGCAUACUAUUAAGACUUCCCUACAUAUAAUCUAACAUCUUAGUUAAUCAAUCAUAACAAGUUCACUUCACAGAGUUCAACUAGUUCUCAAAAAUUGCAAAGUUCAUCUCUUUUUUCUUCAUGUUUCAAACUCAAUUCAUUUCCAAGUAAAAUUAAGUUAAAACACUUCUAAACAACACUAAUUCAUGAUUAAAAACUCAUUUAUUCACUAUAAAUAUUUCCAUAAACUCAAUGUUAAUUUUGAAUAUGUUUCAUGGUUUAGUGAAAAAGUUAUAAUAAAGUUUCAUGAAAAAGUGACACAUGACAUACGUGUAUUAAUUUGACCAUAAAUCAAGUUGUAGAAAUCAUUUUGAAGUAAGACCAAAUCCAUUAGAAAUAUAACAUCCAUAUAUAAAACUUUCAUGUUUACAACUAAGGCUGAAUCUAUUUACAUCAUAUUCAAUCGAUUCAAAACAAGUCAGAGAGAAACCAUGAUACGAUUCAAAAUUGUCUGAGUCGAUUUAAAGCGGCCCAGAUGCAGAAUGAUGUGAUUCAAAAUUUCUUGAAUCAAUUAAAUGACCUAGAAAACACAAUUUUAGCUUCUGGUUCAUCCCCAAAAUUCUUAUUUUGAUCCCCAACAUACCCAAAACGAUAAAAAAUCAUUUUCGAAGGUUCAAAUACACUAUUUAGACUCUUUUUACGACAAUACAAAACAAUUUAUACUUCAAUUCACUUAAUUCAUCAAGGUUCCAACAACAACAACUUACACACAACAACACAUAUAUCACACUUAAUUCCUGAAUCAUCAUCACCAACAUAUACCCGUCAACAAUCAUAGCAUAUAAUUCAUUCAUGAACUUGUCAAUUUUCAACAACAACAUCUUCAUUUCAUCAAUUUAAGUUAAAACUUCAAAGCUAUCAUUUCAACAUAGUUAUACCAUGAAAUUUAAGUACCCACGACAAGAAUUAAAAAUAUUUCAUAUACUCAAAUUUAUCGCAUAAUCGUGAGCACGAAAUUCAACAUUUAAAAUCAUAAAAAGUCAUAAUUCACCAUAACCACCUAUUCUCAUAAUUGAAAAGAUGAAGAUUAUAACUUAAUUAUAAAAAGGAGCUAUCCUCCUUACCUCUAGGUCUUGAACUCACUAGCUUAGGCUUCAAUUUAGCUCCUAGCUCUUCAAACCUCAAACUCUCCCUCUAGCUUCCUGUUCUUUCCUCUUGUGAUCUACUUUCUCUCUCUACCUCUUAUGUUUUUAUGAAAUAAAAUAAUGAAUGGCCUAACCUAAUUUUCUCAUCUUUCUUACUAAAGCUUGUCUGGUCAAGCAAUAUCAUACCCUAAUUUUAACCUAAUAUUUUCCAUAUAUGAUCCAAGCAUUGAACUCACUGGCUUAGGCUUCAAUUUAGCUCCUAGCUCUUCAAACCUCAAGCUCUCCCUCUAGCUUCCUGUUCUUUCCUCUUGUGAUCUACUUUCUCUCUCUACCUCUUAUGUUUUUAUGAAAUAAAAUAAUGAAUGGCCUAACCAAAUUUUCUCAUCUUUCUUACUAAAGCUUGUCUGGUCAAGCAAUAUCAUAUCCCACUAUUAACCUAAUAUUUUCCCUCCAUCAUCCAAGCAUUAAAUUCUCCUUAGUUCUUUUCCUAAUCAUCACUACUAGAUCGUCUACCCGUGCUGCCGCACGGGUCAUAUACAGUUAAAAACAAAUUGAAUAGAUGUAAAAUACCCACAAAUUCUUUGACAAAACAAUAUAAUUGAGUUAAUAUGAAUUUGGAAAAUUACGCGGACUUCGCCACGGGAUUGGAUACACAAUUUUUUAAUAGGGUGGCUUAGGAAAAUACAUUAACUCAAUACGGCACUUAGUAUUACUAAACAUAAGCAGAUUCAAGCUUAAAAACAAAACAUACUUAACUAAAGCCAAUCCAAAAAAGUUGCAAUACAAAUUUGGAUCCAAAAAAGUGACUGAUAUGUCAACACUUAAUAAUUUAGACAAAAUAUGAAAUAUCAUAACAGGAAAAUACCUCUUCUCUAUCAUAACUUCAUGUUCGUUUUCGUUUGGAUCACUCAAUGUUACAUAUGUAGAAAUUUGAUACCCAAACUCCCUUGUAAACAUAGAAGGUAUCUUUGCUUUACAUGUUUAUACUUUAAACAUCAAAUCAAAUGUUCAAAAUGAUAUACAGUAGCAUGAGUUUUUAUAAAACAAAAUCCAUAUAUUACUUAAAAAAUAGGGGUUAACACCAACUACUUACAUGUAAAUCCCUUUAGAAACCAAUGAACAUUGCAUCCACACCCACAUAAACGAUUGAAUAGUCUCCUUUUGUCACCGUCUUCUCUCCCUCUAAUUCUGCAUUUGAGAAAUCUGGUCAACAGUCACUCAAUCUUUUAUGCUACCGCUUGAUUAUGUUGUCACUGUCGCACCAAAGUUUCCCACGGCUUCCUGCCGGCACUAAGCUUUCAACGAUGUCAUAAGUGAGUCUCUAAAUCAAUAUACGGAUCCUCCACCAGUUUCCAAAAAUCGCAACACAAAUCACAUUUCUCCCAUUAAACCAUUAAAAAACAAUAUCUAACUUAAUUAUUCAUUACCAUAAUCAUCAGCAUUUCUUUGGUACGAUGAAUGAAAAACAAACAUUAAGUUGAAGCUCUCAUUUGCAAUUGAAAGUACUAUUCAAGAAAAGCUUCAAACUAUUUGAUAAGCAGGUAGAAAGAAUAAGUUUGAUAUUAAACUAAAACUAUGCUACUCAAAAUGAUAAAAGCAAAAUCAAGGACCAUAAACAAAGCAAAAUAAAAAAACAGGCGUACCAAAAAAAGUCGAUAGAUAGAAUCAAGGUUGAGAUGACAAAGUGGAGACCGGAAAUGAUGAUUCGGCGUGACGCAAUAAAACUAAGCAAGCGAAUGAUCCAAUGGGGUGACAUGCAUGAGGAUUUUGGGAAGAUGAACGAAGCGUGAAAGGACGUUGAGAAGGACGAACAAUCGACGAUGGGUGUUACGUUUGACGGUUGCAGGGGAGGAGAAGUGGAAGAUGCCGGUGGAGGUGUCGAGAGGGUAAGAGGUGAAAUGGGUCUCAAAGUUUGAAGGCAAAUGUUGAUUUUUUAUUUAAUUAUUUAUUAGAAAAUGAACAAAUUAAUUUUAACCUAAUAUUUUCCCACCAUCAUCCAAGCAUUAAAUUCUCCUUAGUUCUUUUCCUAAUCAUCACUACUAGAUCGUCUACCCGUGCUGCCGCACGGGUCAUAUACAGUUAAAAACAAAUUGAAUAGAUGUAAAAUACCCACAAAUUUUUUGACAAAACAAUAUAAUUGAGUUAAUAUGAAUUUGGAAAAUUACGCGGACUUCGCCACGGGAUUGGAUACACAAUUUUUUAAUAGGGUGGCUUAGGAAAAUACAUUAACUCAAUACGGCACUUAGGGUCCGUUUGGAUUAGCUUAUUUUAGAGUUUAUAUAAAAUAACUUAUGCAAAUAAAUAAGUUUUUAUGUAUUAUUUAUAAGUUUUCAAGCUAUUUUAUGGAAAAACAGGUUAUGAAGAUGUGAUUUUCGUUAGCGAGAGCUUAUAAAUUAAAAUAAAAACUUAUUUAUUUACAUAAGUUAUUUUUCAUAAGCCUAAAAUAAGCUCAAACCAAACGGGGCCUUAGUAUUACUGAACAUAAGCAGAUUCAAGCUUAAAAACAAAACCUACUUAACUAAAGCCAAUCCAAAAAAUUGCAAUACAAAUUUGGAUCCAAAAAAGUGACUGAUAUGUCAACCCUUAAUAAUUUAGACAAAAUAUGAAAUAUCAUAACAGGAAAAUACCUCUUCUCUAUCAUAACUUCAUGUUCGUUUCCGUUUGGAUCACUCAAUGUUACAUAUGUAGAAAUUUAAUACCCAAACUCCCUUGUAAACAUUUAUGAACAAUUAAAUUUGUUACAUAUGUACGAAUAUAAAGCACAAUUAAAUAUUUAUGAACAUGUAGGACGUAUAUUAUGUUAAUUACUAAUGAAGUUAACUACGCCUAACAUAAUACGAUCAAGCAUAGAUUAAAAAGCAACUUAUUGAAGUAAUAUUGCCUCUGCACAUGAAAAAAAAAACAUGUAAUAAAAAUAUUUUCUUAUACAUCUUAUGAAUGGCCAAAUGAACUAUAAAUACGUUUUUUAGCAAUCACAAACAUACUCCACCUUGUUGUAGAAAUAAUUAAAUAGUUUAAGCAUUAUAAAUUUUUAAAGGCUCUUCAUAAUUUUAGAAUUAUUAGUAAAUAUCUCUUAAAUAUAUCAAUGUGCUAUUUUUGUUCAUUUAGCACACAUUAAAGGACUUCAUGUAAUAAAAAUAAUAAUUAAUAUAAUUGAAUACAAUUUUACAAACUUUAGUUUACUUUUUCCUGUAAAUAAUUGUAUUUUUUUUAACCUUUCGUAAGGGUAAAGGGGAAAACAAUUAUACCAUCGUAAAAUUAUGUACGAAUAGAAAGCACAAUUAAAUAUUUAUGAACAAGUAGGACAUAUGUUAUCUUAAUUACUAAUGAAGUUAACUACGCCUUACAUAAUACGACCAAGCAUAGAUUAAAAAGCAACAUAUUGAAGGAACAUUGCCUCAACACAUGAACAAAAACAUGUUAUAAAAAGUUUUUCCUAUAAUCUUAUGAAUGACCAAAUGAACAAUAAAUAAGUUUUUUAACAAUCACAAACAUACUCAACCUUGUUGUAGAAAUAAUUAAAUAGUUUAAGCAUUAUAAAUUUUUAAAUGCUCUUCAUAAUUUUAGAAUUAUUAGUAAAUAUCUCUUAAAUAUAUCAAUGUGUUAUUAUUUUUCAUUUAGCACACAUUAAAGGACUUCAUGUGAUAAAAAUAAUAAUCAAUAAAAUUGAAUGCAAUUUUACAAACUUUAGAUUACUUUUUCCUGUAAAUAAUUGUAUUAUUAUUUUAUUUUAUCCUUUCGUAAGGGAAAAUGGGAUAACAAUUCUACCAUCGUAAAAUUAUGUACGAAUAUAAAGCAAAAUUAAAUAUUUACGAUCAAGUAGGACAUAUGUUAUGUUAAUUACUAAUGAAGUUAACUACGCCUCACAUAAUUAAUAUGACAAAGCAUAGAUUAAAAAGCAAUCUAUUGAAGGAACAUUGCCUCAACACAUGAACAAAAACAUGUUAUAAAAAGUUUUUCCUAUGAUCUUAUGAACGGCCAAAUGAACUAUAAAUAAGUAUUUUAGUAAUCACAAACAUACUCCACCUUCCUACGUUUUGGUACCUUAACUCUUCCUACGUCAACCACUUUGGUCCUUUAUUUUAGGAUGAAUGUAUUUGAGUUAAGGGACCAAAAUAAAACCAAAAAAUAAGUUAAGGGACCAAAACGAAAUUAAAAAAUAAGUUAUGGGACCGAAACGAAACUGUUAAUAGUUAAGGGACCAAAGCGAAACCAAAAAAUAAGUUAGGGGACCAAAAGAGUAAUUAAGCCUAAACUAUCGUAUGUGUUAACUCAUUCGUGGGAAAGGCUUUGAAUAAUCUGUUUUUAUAUCUAUGCUUACCAUUUUAAUUUGAAGAUCCUUCGAUUAUUUUAUUUUAUUUAGAUUCUAAAAGAGUUUCUUUCCAAUUUUUACAUGCAUAACCGUGUGUGUUAACUCAUUUAGAACACGGGAUAGCCUUAGGUAGCAUACAAUGCAAACUUAACUGAUAGUAUGGAUUAUGGAAUGCUUUGUCUUGAUAUUGGAACAACUCUGAACUCAGCUGUAUUAUUUUUUUGAAAAGAUUCUACAUAUAAACUUUAGGCAUGAACCAAAACUAUAUGAUGCAUUUGAAUCUUAUAGCAACCUACAACUCACAAAGUUGUUUAGCAUUGUGUUUGAUGGAAGAAUGUUCUCAUGAUGAAGAUGUUUAUUACACUCGAAAUUAUUCUUGUUAUUUCAUCAAAUUGAUUAGGAUCAAUUUUGAAGUGAAACCAAUUCAUGAAUAUUGAAUUAUUCAUAAAGUUAUUCAUUAAUGAUAUUGAUUGGAGAAUUAUCAAAGAUGAAACUUCAAUAUUAUAUGCAUGGAGAUUCUAUAGUAAAAUACUUAGGACGAUUCAAGAGUUUCCCAUCACUAUUCAAGAUAAGAAUAGAAAUAAAGCAAAGCAAUUUCGACAUUGAGAAAAGUUUUUCAUGUCUCUUAUAGAACAUUCUCGUCACAGAAUAAUCCUUGCGGAGACGAUUAUCUUACUACUAAAUUACUUAAGCAGUUGGUGCAUUUACCAGAUUUAUCAUCAUCUUUCAAAAUUUUGUUUAAACAUAGUAUUGUUUUCGAUUUUAGACAAGAUGGUUUUGACUUAAAACUAGUAAACACACUUAAAAACUAACCUUUUUUUAUAGAUUUUUUCUACCUACAUUAUACCUAAAAGUGAACAAAGUCUUCAAUUUCAAUUUUGGCGAUGUUGAACUUGUGAUAUUUUCAAUGCACUUCACCAAUUUCAACAUAACUAUUAAACUUAUUAUUAUAGGUGUGAUGUGUCCGGAUUGCAAACCAUGGUGAUAUCUCAAAAUUUACGAGACAAGGAGAUCCUAUAAAAAUAAAUUUAAGCCAAAAAAGCUGGAUGCAUAGAUGCAAACCAACCUAAAAUUCAUUAAAAAGAGAACAGAAAUACAAAGGGAAGGGGACUAGGCCGAAACUUCCAAACUAAUAAGAAAAUCUGAAAUUGGACCAGCCAUCUUUAUUCCUAAAGUAACUGGCCCUAGUGUACUCUGGUACAUCAUUCCAAAAGUGAAUAGAAUCAAGAGAUAAACCAUGAUUAGCCAAUGUGUCAGCUACUUGGUUUCCUUCUCUAUAUAUAUGUGAGAUAAUACAUUUGAGGCCCUGGAGAAUUACCUUGACAUUGUUCCAACGAUUUCAUAAGUUCCAAGGAAUCUGAUUAGUACUCUUAGAAGGAAGAACAACUAAUUAGUUCCAAGGAGAUCCUAUAAAUAAAACUCUUUGCUUCCUCGUUUCAUUUUCAUCAUCUUAUAAUACAAAGUCAUAACUUCAAGGUUCUUAAAACUAGGAAAAACAUAAGAAGAAAAUAAUAAUUAUUGAAUGCAUGAACAAAAACUAAAUGACAACAAGUGGAAUAUUCUAGCAUAAGGUAUAUUGAACAGUUCUCUUACUAGAGAAACAUAAUCUUUAACUGUCUAUCGGUGUACAAAAGCCACUACGACACCUAAUAUUAACUCCUCGAAAUUGUGGACAAUCUUUAUCUCUUUUACAACCCCUAAAAUUAAUCAUCUGACUAAAAGAAGAAUUAGUGCAAAGAAAUAUAGAAAGAAAUAAAAUUAUAACAUAAACUAACUUCGGAGUUUCACCCAUUUUUUUUCUUCCUAUUUGCAUCCAAAGAAUAGUAAAUGACUUGAUCUAUUUAUAGUGUAUAGUAAAGUUCAUGCUCUUGUAGAAAUAAUUAAAUAGUUUAAGAAUUAUAAAAUUUUAAAAGCUCUUCAGAAUUUUAGAAUUAUUACUAAAUGUCUCUUAAAUAUAUCAAUGUUUUACUUUUGUUCAUUUAACACACAUAGAAGGACAUCAUGUGAUAAAAAUAAUAAUCAAUAAAAUUGAAUGCAAUUUUACAAACUUUAGGUUACUUUAAUUUUUUUUGUAAAUAAUUGUAUUAUUUUUUUCACCUUUUGUAUGCGUAAAGGGGAAAACAAUUAUACCAUCGUAAAGUUAUGUACGAAUACAAAGCACAAUUAAAUAUUUAUGAACAUGUAGGACGUAUAUUAUGUUAAUUACUAAUAAAUUUAACUACGCCUAACAUAAUACGACCAAGCAUAGAUUAAAAAGCAACCUAUUGAAAGAACAUUGCCUCUACACAUGAAAAAAAAACAUGUAAUAAUAAUAUUUCCUUAUAAUCUUAUGAAUGGCCAAAUGAACUAUAAAUACGUUUUUUAGAAAUCACAAACAUACUCCACCUUGUUGUAGAAAUAAUUAAAUAGUUUAAGCAUUAUAAAUUUUUAAAGGCUCUUCAUAAUUUUAGAAUUAUUAAUAAAUAUCACUUAAAUAUAUCAAUGUGUUAUUUUUGUUCAUUUAGCACACAUUAAGGGACUUCAUGUGAUAAAAAUAAUAAUUAAUAUAAUUGAAUACAAUUUUACAAACUUUAGUUUACUUUUCCUGUAAAUAAUUCUAUUUUUUUUUUAACCUUUCGUAAGGGUAAAGGGGAAAACAAUUAUACCAUUAUAAAAUUAUGCACGAAUAGAAAGCACAAUUAAAUAUUUAUGAACAAGUAGGACGUAUGUUAUCUUAAUUACUAAUGAAGUUAACUACGCCUUACAUAAUACGACCAAGCAUAGAUUAAAAAGCAACAUUUUGAAGGAACAUUGCCUCAACACAUGAACAAAAACAUGUUAUAAAAAGUUUUUCCUAUAAUCUUAUGAAUGGCCAAAUGAACAAUAAAUAAGUUUUUUAACAAUCACAAACAUACUCCACCUUGUUGUAGAAAUAAUUAAAUAGUUUAAGCAUUAUAAAUUUUUAAAUGCUCUUCAUAAUUUUAGAAUUAUUAGUAAAUAUCUCUUAAAUAUAUCAAUGUGUUAUUAUUUUUCAUUUAGCGCACAUUAAAGGACUUCAUGUGAUCAAAAUAAUAAUCAAUAAAAUUGAAUGCAAUUUGACAAACUUUAGAUUACUUUUUUCCUUGUAAAUAAUUGGAUUAUUAUUUUUAUUUAUCCUUUCGUAAGGGAAAAUGUGAUAACAAUUCUACCAUCGUAAAAUUAUGUACGAAUAUAAAGCACAAUUAAAUAUUUAUGAUCAAGUAGGACAUAUGUUAUGUUAGUUACUAAUGAAGUUAACUACGCCUCACAUAAUACGACCAAACAUAGAUUCAAAAGCAACCUAUUAAAGGAACAUUGCCUCAAUACAUGAACAAAAACAUGGUACAAAAAGUUUUUCCUAUAAUCUUAUGAAUGACCAAACAAACUAUACAUAAGUUUUUUAGUAAUCACAAACAUACUUCACCUUUUUGUAGGAAUAAUUAAAUAAGCAUAUUAUAAAUUUUUUAAAGCUCUUCAUAAUUUUAAAAUUAUUAGUAAAUAUCUCUUAAAUAUAUCAAUGUGUUUUUUUUUUUCAUUUGGCACACAUAAAACGACUUCAUGUGAUAAAAAUAAUAAUCAAUAUAAUUAAAUACAAUCUUACGAACUUUAGUUUACUUUUUUCUGUAAAUAAUUGUAUUUUUUUUAGCCUUUCGUGAGGAUAAAGGGGAAAACAAUUACCAUCGUAAAGUUAUGUACGAAUAUAAAGCAGAAUUAAAUAUUUUUGAACAAGUAGGACAUAUGUUAUGUUAAUUACUCAUGAAGUUAACUACGCCUCACAUAAUUAAUAUGACAAAGCAUAGAUUAAAAAGCAAUCUAUUGAAGGAACAUUGUCUCAACACAUGAACAAAAACAUGUUAUAAAAAGUUUUUCCUAUGAUCUUAUGAAUGGCCAAAUGAACUAUAAAUAAGUAUUUUAGUAAUCACAAACAUACUCCACCUUCCUACGUUUUGGUACCUUAACUCUUCCUACGUCAACCACUUUGGUCCUUUAUUUUAGGAUGAAUGUAUUUGAGUUAAGGGACCAAAAUAAAACCAAAAAAUAAGUUAAGGGACCAAAACGAAAUUAAAAAAUAAGUUAUGGGACCGAAACGAAACUUUUAAUAGUUAAGGGACCAAAGCGAAACCAAAAAAUAAGUUAGGGGACCAAAAGAGUAAUUAAGCCUAAACUAUCGUAUGUGUUAACUCAUUCGUGGGAAAGGCUUUGAAUAAUCUAUUUUUAUAUCUAUGCUUACCAUUUUAAUUUGAAGAUCCUUCGAUUAUUUUAUUUUAUUUAGAUUCUAAACGAGUUUCUUUCCAAUUUUUACAUGCAUAACCGUGUGUGUUAACUCAUUUAGAACACGGGAUAGCCUUAGGUAGCAUACAAUGCAAACUUAACUGAUAGUAUGGAUUAUGGAAUGCUUUGUCUUGAUAUUGGAACAACUCUGAACUCAGCUGUAUUAUUUUUUUGAAAAGAUUCUACAUAUAAACUUUAGGCAUGAACCAAAACUAUAUGAUGCAUUUGAAUCUUAUAGCAACCUACAACUCACAAAGUUGUUUAGCAUUGUGUUUGAUGGAAGAAUGUUCUCAUGAUGAAGAUGUUUAUUACACUCGAAAUUAUUCUUGUUAUUUCAUCAAAUUGAUUAGCAUCAAUUUUGAAGUGAAACCAAUUCAUGAAUAUUGAAUUAUUCAUAAAGUUAUUCAUUAAUGAUAUUGAUUGGAGAAUUAUCAAAGAUGAAACUUCAAUAUUAUAUGCAUGGAGAUUCUAUAGUAAAAUACUUAGGACGAUUCAAGAGUUUCCCAUCACUAUUCAAGAUAAGAAUAGAAAUAAAGCAAAGCAAUUUCGACAUUGAGAAAAGUUUUUCAUGUCUCUAAUAGAACAUUCUCGUCACAGAAUAAUCCUUGCGGAGACGAUAAUCUUACUACUAAAUUACUUAAGCAGUUGGUGCAUUUGCCAGAUUUAUCAUCAUCUUUCAAAAUUUUGUUUAAACAGAGUAUUGUUUUCGAUUUUAGACAAGAUGGUUUUGACUUAAAACUAGUAAACACACUUAAAAACUAACCUUUUUUUUUAGAUUUUUUCUACCUACAUUAUACCUAAAAGUGAACAAAGUCUUCAAUUUCAAUUUUGGCAAAGUUGAAUUUGUGAUAUUUUCUAUGCACUUCACCAAUUUCAACAUAACUAUUAAACUUAUUAUUAUAGGUGUGAUGUGUCCGGAUUGCAAACCAUGGUGAUAUCUCAAAAUUUACGAGACAAGGAGAUCCUAUAAAAAUAAAUUUAAGCCAAAAAGGCUGGAUGCAUAGAUGCAAACCAACCUCAAUUUCAUUAAAAAGAGAACAGAAAUACAAAGGGAAGGGGACUAGGCCGAAACUUCCCAACUAAUAAGAAAAUCUGAAAUUGGACCAGCCAUCUUUAUUCCUAAAGUAACUGGCCCUAGUGAACUCUGGUACAUCAUUCCAAAAGUGAAUAGAAUCAAGAGAUAAACCAUGAUUAGCCAAUGUGUCAGCUACUUGGUUUCCUUCUCUAUAUAUAUGUGAGAUAAUACAUUUGAGGCCCUGGAGAAUUACCUUGACAUUGUUCCAACGAUUUCUUAAGUUCCAAGGAAUCUGAUUAGUACUCUUAGAAGCAAGAACAACAAAUUAGUUCCAAGGAGAUCCUAUAAAUAAAACUCUUUGCUUCCUCAUUUCAUUUUCAUCAUCUUAUAAUACAAAGUCAUAACUUCAAGGUUCUUAAAACUAGGAAAAACAUAAGAAGAAAAUAAUAAUUAUUGAAUGCAUGAACAAAAACUAAAUGACAACAAGUGGAAUAUUCUAGCAUAAGGUAUAUUGAACAGUUCUCUUACUAGAGAAACAUAAUCUUUAACUGUCUAUCGGUGUACAAAAGCCACUACGACACCUAAUAUUAACUCCUCGAAAUUGUGGACAAUCUUUAUCUCUUUUACAACCACUAAAAUUAAUCAUCUGACUAAAAGAAGAAUUAGUGCAAAGAAAUAUAGAGAGAAAUAAAAUUAUAACAUAAACUAACUUCGGAGUUUCACCCUUUUUUUUUCUUCCUAUUUGCAUCCAAAGAAUAGUAAAUGACUUGAUCUAUUUAUAGUGUAUAGUAAAGUUCAUGCUCUUGUAGAAAUAAUUAAAUAGUUUAAGAAUUAUAAAAUUUUAAAAGCUCUUCAGAAUUUUAGAAUUAUUACGAAAUGUCUCUUAAAUAUAUCAAUGUUUUCCUUUUGUUCAUUUAACACACAUAGAAGGACAUCAUGUGAUAAAAAUAAUAAAUCAAUAAAAAUGAAUGCAAUUUUACAAACUUUAGAUUACUUUAAUUAUUUCUGUAAAUAAUUGUAUUAUUUUUUUCACCUUUUGUAUGCGUAAAGGGGAAAACAAUUAUACCAUCGUAAAGUUAUGUACGAAUAUAAAGCACAAUUAAAUAUUUAUGAACAUGUAGGACGUAUAUUAUGUUAAUUACUAAUGAAUUUAACUACGCCUAACAUAAUACGACCAAGCAUAGAUUAAAAAGCAACCUAUUGAAGGAACAUUGCCUCUACACAUGAAAAAAAAACAUGUAAUAAAAAUAUUUCCUUAUAAUCUUAUGAAUGGCCAAAUGAUCUAUAAAUACGUUUUUUAGAAAUCACAAACAUACUCCACCUUAUUGUAGAAAUAAUUAAAUAGUUUAAGCAUUAUAAAUUUUUAAAGGCUCUUCAUAAUUUUAGAAUUAUUAGUAAAUAUCACUUAAAUAUAUCAAUGUGUUAUUUUUGUUCAUUUAGCACACAUUAAAGGACUUCAUGUGAUAAAAAUAAUAAUUAAUAUAAUUGAAUACAAUUUUACAAACUUUAGUUUACUUUUUCCUGUAAAUAAUUCUAUUUUUUUUUAACCUUUCGUAAGGGUAAAGGGGAAAACAAUAAUACCAUUAUAAAAUUAUGUACGAAUAGAAAGCACAAUUAAAUAUUUAUGAACAAGUAGGACGUAUGUUAUCUUAAUUACUAAUGAAGUUAACUACGCCUUACAUAAUACGACCAAGCAUAGAUUAAAAAGCAACCUAUUGAAGGAACAUUGCCUCAACACAUGAACAAAAACAUGUUAUAAAAAGUUUUUCCUAUAAUCAUAUGAAUGGCCAAAUGAACAAUAGAUAUGUUUUUUAACAAUCACAAACAUACUCCACCUUGUUGUAGAAAUAAUUAAAUAGUUUAAGCAUUAUAAAUUUUUCAAUGCUCUUCAUAAUUUUAGAAUUAUUAGUAAAUAUCUCUAAAAUAUAUCAAUGUGUUAUUAUUUUUCAUUUAGCACACAUUAAAGGACUUCAUGUGAUAAAAAUAAUAAUCAAUAAAAUUCAAUGCAAUUUUACAAACUUUAGAUUACUUUUUCCUGUAAAUAAUUGUAUUAUUAUUAUUUUAUUUUAUCCUUUCGUAAGGGAAAAUGGGAUAUCAAUUCUACCAUCGUAAAAUUAUGUACGGAUAUAAAGCACAAUUAAAUAUUUAUGAUCAAGUAGGACAUAUGUUAUGUUAAUUAGUAAUGAAGUUAACUACGCCUCACAUAAUACGACCAAGCAUAGAUUCAAAAGCAACCUAUUGAAGGAACAUUCCCUCAACACAUGAACAAAAACAUGGUACAAAAAGUUUUUACUAUAUUCUUAUGAAUGACCAAACGAACUAUAAAUAAAUUUUUUAGUAAUCACAAACAUACUCCACCUUUUUGUAGGAAUAAUUAAAUAAGCAUUUUAAUUUUUAAAAGCUCUUCAUAAUUUUAAAAUUAUUAGUAAAUAUCUCUUAAAUAUAUCAAUGUGUUAUUUUUUUUUCAUUUGGCACACAUAAAACGACUUCAUGUGAUAAAAAUAAUAAUUAAAUACAAUCUUACGAACUUUAGUUUACUUUUUUCUGUAAAUAAUUGUAUUUUUUUUAACCUUUCGUGAGGAUAAAGGGGAAAACAACUACCAUCGUAAAGUUAUGUACGAAUAUAAAGAAGAAUUAAAUAUUUUUGAACAAGUAUGACAUAUGUUAUGUUAAAUUACUAAUGAAGUUAACUACGCCUCACAUAAUUAAUACGACAAAGCAUAGAUUAAAAAGCAAUCUAUUAAAGGAACAUUGCCUCAACACAUGAACAAAAACAUGUUAUAAAAAGUUUUUCCUAUGAUCUUAUGAAUGGCCAAAUGAACUAUAAAUAAGUAUUUUAGUAAUCAGAAACAUACUCCACCUUGUUGUAGAAAUAAUUAAAUAGUUUAAGCAUUAUAAAUUUUUAACAGCUCUUCAUAAUUUUAAAAUUAUUAGUAAAUAUCACUUAAAUAUAUCAAUGUGUUAUUUUUUUUUUCAUUUGGCAGACAUAAAACGACUUCAUGUGAUAAAAAUAAUAAUCAAUAUAAUUGAAUACAAUUUUACAAUUCUUUUUUUUUCUUUUCUUUAUCUUAGUACAAUUUGGUAAAAUUAAGAGUCAGAGAACACUAUCGAUGAAAUUUUGUCUGGCGACGUUAUUACUGUUCACCGUCUUCCUUAAUGGUCUCUAAACCCUCCACCGCCAUGCCUAAUCAACCCCCUUCUUCUUCCCAACCUUUUCUAAUCCCAUGGAAAUGUCUGGACGAUUCUGAAUCUGUGAUGAUCGCACAAAAAACACCAACCAAAAAUUUACCCAAAGCUCAAAUGACGUUUGCGCAAGCCCUAACAAACGUUUGUGAUACUCCUUCCAGUCAGUUACCUAAACCUACAAUCAAAGGCGACAAGUUUUCAAUUUCGAUUCCUGAUGAGGAAUAUGAUUUGGGUUUGGAUGGAUGCAAAAAUAACCUUCAUGCACGUAUCAUCUGGCCAAAGGGUUCCUCACCCUUAACUGUUGUUGCCUUGAAAGAAAAGUUAAAGCCUAUAUGGAAAAACCUAGCUCCAUGGGGUGUUACAUCCAUAGGGAAAGGGUUUUAUGAAUUUGUGUUUUCCUCUAUUGAGGAUGCUCGUAGGGUAAGAUCUGUUGGUUCAUGGAUUUUAAAUCCAGGGCUGCUGAAACUCUUUCCUUGGACAAGUGAUUUCAGUCCAAACCUGCAAACUAAUACCUCAGCUCAAGUAUGGUUGAAAAUUCAUGGUCUUUCUCAAGAAUACUGGAGAAAGAGGAUUAUUUUUGCGAUUGCAAGCAGUGUUGGCACCCCCAUCUGUGUGGACUCUAUUACAAGUAAGCCUGCUAUUGAAAGGACUUUUGGCCACUUUGCUAGGGUUUUGAUUGAUAUUGAUCUGAGUAAGGAACUGAGAUAUGAGGUUCUUGUGGAAAGGAGAGGUUAUGCUUUCUUUGUGGAGUUGGAAUAUGAGAAUCUACCAGAUUUUUGUGGUUAUUGCCAGGCGGUGGGUCAUAAUGUUAGUGUUUGUAGGAAAGCUAACAAGAAACACAUGGAAACAAAUCAACAUGUGGGAAACAGUGGAGCAGCUGCGGUGAUGAAUGACAAAAAUAAAGGAAAAGCUCCUCUGGAAAAACAGGACAACGUUUGGAUCCCUAAAACAACUUCUGUUGUUGAUUUAGAAGCUGAAAAUCAAGACAAACAAAUACAUCUACAAGAUGAGGGGAACAAAGACUCGGAUGGUACAAAAUCAAAUGCAUCACAGGCGCAACCUCAACCUGUAGCAAUUGAAAUCAUUAGUAACUCCCCUGUUGUGGAAAGGGUGCAACCUGAAGUUCAGCAAUCAGUUGAAGAUGUUAGUGAUAACAGCUCUCAAGAAUCUGAAUUUGUAGAUGCUACUCAACAACACAAUGAUGAUACGGAUGAUAUUUCAAGUCAGGAGCAAGAUUCAACUAUCAGAACUCAGCAAAAUACGCAUUUUCUCAAUCAAUCAUGGGCUAAUCUUGCAGCUACUGAUGAGGAUUUGAUCAGGCAACAGGAAGCGGAGCUAGUUGCAAAAUUAGCUCAGGAAGCAGACAUAGAUGUGCAGAUUUAUCAGGAGGAUCUAAACAAUAUAGAAGCUUCUAGAUUUGAGUUGGUGACUAAUAGAAGAAAGAAAAUCCACAAGGCUAAAUCAAAUAAAGCAAGCAGCUCAUACCUUACUAGGUCUAAGGUCCCAACUAAACUUUCUCAAUGAAGUGCUUAUAUUGGAAUAUAAGGGGAUUAGCUAACUCCCCAUCAAGGUUAGCCCUUAAAAAUUUAAUUACUGCUCAUAAACCACAUAUUGUCAUUAUCUCUGAACCUUGGCUUUUGUUUGAACAUUUCCCUAGACAUUGGUUUCACAGACUGCGUUUUAAACUCUUUGCCCUAAAUACUAGAAAUAAUCUUGAUCCUAAUCUAUGGUGCUUGUGCCUCAAUCAUUUAACCCCUGAUGUUUUGUCCAUCACUGACCAACAAAUUACUUUUUCCCUAAAAGACAACAACAUAACUUUUGCUAUAUCAGCCAUAUAUGCUUCCACCAACUACAUACAUAGGAGACAACUCUGGCAAACCCUAACAAACCUUCAAAACCAAUACAAUUUACCUUGGUGCUCUAUUGGUGAUUUCAACACCAUAUUGGGGUCUCAUGAGCACAGGGGUACCUCAACUCCAGCUAGAGGUCCCAUGAAUGAUUUUGCUGAAUGGUCCAAUCAAAAUUAUCUUUUCCAUCUACCAACUAGAGGAGUGCAAUUUACCUGGUCCAGUGGUAGGAGUGGACGAAGGCUCACCGAAAGGAGGUUAGACAGAGCAAUAUGCAAUCAAUCAUGGUUGGAUAUGUGCUCCGCUUUAAAUGUUUCCACUCUCUCAAGGCUGAAGUCUGACCAUUUUCCUUUACUAAUGGAUUUUGAAACCUCUACAAUCUCUUUUGCUUCACAAUUUAAAUUCAUGAAUAUGUGGAGUUUGCAUGCUGAUUGUAAAAAUCUGAUUCAACAAAGUUGGAAUGAAACUGUUGUGGGAUGCCCUAUGUUUAUUUUGAACCAAAAGCCGAAGAACCUCAAACAAAAACUCAAGAUAUGGAACAAAACAGUUUUUGGCAAUCUCAACUCGAUAGUUAAAGAAGCCGAACAAAAGUUGCUAUACAUCCAAGAUGAAAUUGACUCCAAUGGUGCCACUGAAACUCUUCUUGAACAUCAAAAAAUGGCACAGAUUUCUUUGGAGCAUGCUUUAGAAAUAGAAGAGGAGUUUUGGAGGGAAAAAUCCAAUAAUGCUUGGCAUGCUCAAGGAGACAGAAACACCAAAUAUUUCCACAGACUAGCCAACAUCAAACACACAUCCAAACGCAUUGAUUCUAUUAAGGAUGGGGAGAACUUGAUUAUUGAGCCAGACAAAUUUCAUCUCACAUAACAAAUCACUUCCAAAAUAUUUUUUCUUCUAAUUUUUCUGUGCAGGAUUUGCAGGUUGAUGAAUUAAUUGAUGGUGUGAUUCUAACAUGAUAAAUGAAGACUCUAAUCAUAUUCUCACAAUGCUUCCAACUCCCCAAGAAAUCUUCCAGGCUGUUUGUUCUUUGAAGAAGGAUAGUGCUCCAGGCCCUGAUGGUUUUGGGGCAAGUUUUUAUCAAAAUUAUUGGGAGAUUGUAAAGAAUGAUGUUAUUAAUGCUGUUUUGGAAUUUUUUACAAAGGACUGGUUGCUCCCUAACUUUAACUCCAAUACCAUUGUGCUUAUACCUAAAGUUUCAGAGGCAUUGACAGUAAAUCAGUAUAGGCCAAUUGCCCUGGCCAACUUCAAGUUCAAGAUUGUUUCUAAGAUUCUUGCAGAUAGGUUAGCUCCCAUCAUGAAGAACAUCAUCUCUCCUCAGCAGCGGGGCUUCAUUCAAGGUAGGAACAUAAGGGACUGUAUUUGUGUAACUUCUGAAGCUAUCAAUCAACUCCACAACAAGUCUUUUGCAGGGAAUUUGGCAUUCAAAGUUGACAUUUCUAAAGCUUUUGACACUUUAGAAUGGAAGUUUCUGAUCAAAGUUUUAAGUAGUUUUGGUUUCAAUGACAGAUUUUGCUCAUGGAUAAAAACCAUUCUAAAUUCUGUCUCUUUAUCUAUUAAUGUGAAUGGUAAACUGCAUGGGUUUUUCAAAUGCAAGAGAGGGGUCAGGCAGGGAGACCCACUUUCUCCACUUCUCUUUUGUAUUGCUGAAGACGUUUUAAGCAGGAAUAUUUAUAAACUGGUAGAACAAGGCAAACUCAACCUUAUCAAAGGCACAAGAAACACUCCAGUUCCUUCUCAUUCCUUAUAUGCGGAUGAUAUUAUGAUAUUUUGUAAGGGGAAUAUUUCUUCUGUUCAUGCUCUAAUGAAUCUUUUUAAUUCUUAUGCUUUGGCUUCAGGACAGUUUAUCAAUCCUUCCAAGUCUACGGUUUUUCAUGGUUCCAUUUCAAAUGCUAGACUGGAGCAGAUUGUUAACUUAAUUGGCUUUAACAGAGGCACCCUCCCUUUCUCUUACCUUGGAGUCCCAAUUUUCAAGGGGAAGCCAAAGAAGUCUCAUUUACAACCUAUUGCUGACAAGAUAAAAUCUGAGCUUAGUGCGUGGAAAGCAUCUCUUUUAUCCAUUGCAGGAAGAGUCACUUUAGUCAAGUCGGUAAUUCAAGGAAUGAUGAUACACACUAUCUCUGUGUACUCUUGGCCCACCUCAUUAAUUAAAUAUGUUGAGGUUUGGAUUAGGAAUUUUAUAUGGAGUGGAGAUAUUUCAAAGAGGAAAUUGGUAACGGUUUCUUGGAAGAAAGUCUGUAGACCCUUUUCUAAAGGAGGGUUGGGAUUGAGAUCUUUACACACGGUUAAUGAGGCUGCCAACUUGAAGUUGUGUUGGGAUCUCAAAAAUUCAAUGGAAGACUGGGCCAUUCUUUUACGGAGCAAGGUCUGCAGAGGUAACAACAUCAUUUCUCAUCAUAUUUUCUCAUCUAUUUGGAGUAGUGUUAAAUCUGAGUUCAAUACCAUCAAUGAUAAUUGUUGUUGGAUCAUUGGUAAUGGGGAAAAAAUUAAUUUCUGGUUGGAUUCUUGGCUUGAGAAACCGAUUGCUUCCAUUCUUAACUUGCCUGAAACUGUUCACGGUAACUUAAAGGACAAGGUGUGUGAUUUUUUGCACAACUCAACAUGGCACCUCCCACAACAUCUUCUAAAUUCAUUCCCCAAUCUGGGGCAUAUUGUUAUGCAAGUUACUCUUCCGAGUGAAUCAAAGGAGGAUAGUUUGGUUUGGAAACAUUGUGCAUCAGGGGCUUUAUCUUUUAAAGACGCCUUUUUGUUCAAAUAUGGUUUAGGGCAGAAUGUUUCUUGGGCUAAACAAAUCUGGUGCACAGACAUACCUCCCUCUAAGUCUUUGAUGACUUGGAAGCUCAUGCACAAUAAACUAUCAACAGAUGAAAAUCUAAUGCUUAGGGGUUGUAAUUUACCUUCAAUGUGCUCAUCUUGUCAAGCUUCUUCAGAAACUACCUUUCAUCUCUUCUUUGAAUGCAAUUUUGCUACUAAAAUGUGGUCUUGGCUAGCUUCCCUUCUCAAUACUCCUCUUCAAUUCAGCACCUCUGCAGAUAUGUGGUCUCCUCUUCAACUCAACUGGACUCCUCAAUGCAAAGUGGUGAUAACGGCCUGCAUCAUAAACUUGUUAAAUGUUAUCUGGUUUAGAAGAAACAACAUCCGUUUUCAAGACAAAGUGAUUGAUUGGAAAACAGCCAUCAAUAUGAUUAUCUCUAAAGUCUCACUUUCAGGUAACUUAACCAAAAAAACAUCAGCUGCUAAUAUGUUGGAGUUCACAAUUUUCAAAGCCUGCAAGGUUAGCAUCAAGCCCCCCCAGGACCCCUCUGCUCAAAGAAGUUAUUUGGGCUCCUCCUCUGAAUUCUUGGGUUAAAAUUAACACGGAUGGGGCAUCAAUUAAAAAUCCUACUAGAGCUGCAGCUGGUGGUAUCUUCAGAAAUUCGGAUGGUGCUUGUUUGGGUGGAUUUGCUCAGUAUCUUGGUAGUGCAAAUGCUUUGUAUGCUGAACUGUCGGCAGCUAUGAAUGCAAUUGAAAUUGCUUCACUAAUGGGCUUCUCCAAUGUGUGGUUAGAAUCAGACUCUCAAUUGGUGAUUUUGGCGUUUAACUCAAUUUAUGUGGUUCCUUGGGGGUUAAGAAAUAGGUGGGAAAAUUGCUUAAAACUUACUUAUAAUAUGAGGUUUUGUGCUUCUCACAUCUAUAGGGAAGGGAAUACUUGUGCAGAUAAACUUGCUAACUUUGGUUUAUCUUUGUCCUCUUUGGAUUUAUUUUGGUUUGAUUCCAUACCUGCUUUUGUAAGCGAGGAGUACAAUAGGAAUAGGUUGGGAAUGCCCAAUUUUAGAUAUGUAACCUUUUGAAAAGGUUUGGUUUGGUCCCCCUUUUCUUCUUUGUACUUUUUUUCUCUCUUUUUAAUGAAUUAAUCUGAUGCUCUUUGCAUCGUUUAUAAAAAAAAAAGAAUACAAUUUUACAAACUUUAGUUUACUUUUUCCUGUAAAUAAUUCUAUUUUUUUUUAACCUUUCGUGAGGGUAAAGGGGAAAACAAUUAUACCAUUAUAAAAUUAUGUACGAAUAGAAAGCAGAAUUAAAUAUUUUUGAACAAGUAUGACAUAUGUUAUGUUAAAUUACUAAUGAAGUUAACUACGCCUCACAUAAUUAAUACGACAAAGCAUAGAUUAAAAAGCAAUCUAUUAAAGGAACAUUGCCUCAACGCAUGAACAAAAACAUGUUAUAAAAAGUUUUUCCUAUGAUCUUAUGAAUGGCCAAAUGAACUAUAAAUAAGUAUUUUAGUAAUCAGAAACAUACUCCACCUUGUUGUAGAAAUAAUUAAAUAGUUUAAGCAUUAUAUAUUUUUAACAGCUCUUCAUAAUUUAAAAAUUAUUAGUAAAUAUCUCUUAUAUAUAUCAAUGUGUUAUUUUUGUUCAUUUAGAAAACAUAACAGGACUUAAUGUGAUAAAAAUAAUAAUCAAUAUAAUUGAAUACAAUUUUACAAACUUUAGUUUACUUUUUCCUGUAAAUAAUGGUAUUUUUUUUAACCUUUUGUGAGGUAAAGGGGAAAACAAUUAUACCAUCUUAAAGUUAUGUACGAAUAUAAAGCACAAUUAAAUAUUUUUGAACAAGUAGGACAUAUAUGUUAUGUUAAUUACUAAUGAAGUUAACUAAGCCUCACAUAAUACGACCAAGCAUAGAUUAAAAAGCAAUAUAUUGAAGGAACAUUGCUUCAACACAUGAACAAAAACAUGUUAUAAAAAGUUUUUCCUAUGAUCUUAUGAAUGGCCAAAUGAACUAUAAAUAAGUUUUUUAGUAAUCACAAACAUACUCCACCUUGUUGUAGAAAUAAUUAAAUAGUUUAAGAAUUAUAAAUUUUUAAAGGCUCUUCAUAAUUUUAGAAUUAUUAGUAAAUAUCUCUUAAAUAUAUCAAUGUGUUAUUUUUGUUCAUUUAGCACACAUUAAAGGACUUCAUGUGAUAAAUAUAAUAAUCAAUAUAAUUGAAUACAAUUUUACAAACUUUAGUUUACUUUUUCCUGUAAAUAAUUGGAUUUUUUUUAACCUUUUGUUAGGGUAAAGGGGAAAACAAGUAUACCAUCGUAAAGUUAUGUACGAUUAUAAAGCACAAUUAAAUAUUUUUGAACAAGUAAAAUGUAUUUUAUGUUAAUUACUAAUGAAGUUAACUACACCUCACAUAAUACGACCAAGCAGAGAUUAAAAAAGCAAUCUAUUGAAGGAACAUUGCCUCAAAACAUGAACAAAAACAUGUUAUAAUUUUUUUUUUCAUAUACUCUUAUGAAUGGCCAAAUGAAUUAUAAAGAAGUUUUUUAGCAAUAACAAACAUACUUCACAUUGUUGUAAGAAAAUUGAUAACUGGUGAAUAAAUUGGUUACCACGUUGCACUUAACUCUUAUAUUGGACAAGUAAUUUAGUGAUUGCAGUGCUUUAACAUCUAAUAUGUGUUUAUUUUAGAAUUUUAUGCUUUUAAGUGUUUUUAGUAUUUUGGAACUAGUAAUGCUUGUUUAUGAUGUUUGAUGAUGUAGGUUAAGGAAUUAAUUUUUGAAAACAUCACAGCGAAAUAAUAAUAUCAUUGCAUCUCAUCAACAUGCAUUAAAGAUGUAUAAAGCUCCAAAGCAAUUAAUUUUUGAUGAUGUAGGUUUUAGGACUUUGGAAUUAACAUGCAUAAUUAAUUUUUCAAAACAUCACAGCGAAAUAAUAAUAUCAUUGCAUCUCAUCAACAUCUAAACAAAACCUCCAAAGUAGCUCCAAACUAAGAAUCUCGAAAAGUCAUAGAAUCUAUAUAACAGACAGAUACACUAAUUAGAGGCGACACACUAAGAAUCUGAAAGCAAACGACGAGGUAGCUCCAAAGCUAGCCUCCGGCAACUCACCAAGUAAAACAAAUCUACUCAUCCAUACAAAUAAGGUAGGUAGUCAACCAAAUGACCACUGGGUCAAUUCACAUUUCGCAAUUAAAGUAUAAACAAAUGAAAAUGAACGACUUAAUUAAAUUCAAUUGAUUAAACAACACUUAAGCAGCUGAACAUCAUUAAUAAUCAUCAAUCAUAUAAGUAUAAUACUACCUCCGUUUCUUUUUAAUUGUCACUUUUUGAAAUUUUACACAAAACAAGACAAUUAAUAAAUCUUACUACUUUUGAUACAAUUGUUUUUACUUUUACUAUAAAGACCUUGCUAAUUUAAUAUUUCAAUUCAUAUGUUUCUCUCUCUGCAAUAAAUAUCUAAGGGUAAUAUUGGUAAAACAUCAUUUAAUGUUACAUUGAACUUUGAAAGUGACAGUUAAUUAGGAACAAAUUUUUUCUCUAAAAGUGACAGUUAAAAAAGAACGGAGGGAGUAAUACACAAGUACAUUUUCAACAUCAUCACAUAUUCACCAAGCACGUGAUUCACCAAGUUCACCAAUGCACAUAAAUCACCAAGGUUCACCAAGCACAUAAACAAAUACGACACAUUUAAUCAAUUAUCAUAUGUAUGUAAUGCGCCUAAACACGACUCUAUAUGCAUGUGCUACUGGUCAUCAUCAAGGUCGUCACCUCAAAAUACAAAUGUAUCAUAGUCAUCAUCAUUUGAACGUAUUCAAGUCGUCUUCGUUGGAUAUAAUAUCAUAGCCGUCUUCAUUGGAUAUAAAUAUCAUACUUAUGAAUGCAUGAACAUACGACUCAACAAUGCAUACAUUCAAUAACAAAUCCUCAUCAUUUUCUUCUUAAUUUUUCAUACAUGCAUUCGUCAUCAAUAACGUCGUCAUUUUGCAUGUAAUGAUUCAUCAACAUAAAUCAUCCUCAUCAUAAUCAUUAUCAACAACAAUCAACUCAAGAACCAACAAAGUUCCAAAAUCACAUUUGCAUAAAAGACGGACAAUUAUCUACAUCAUGACAUUCAUCAAAUUAAACGACCACUCAUCGUGGAUUCAUUCUAAUUUUAUCAUAUCAUCAUGAAUAUAAAACCUCAUUUCAACAAAGUUAGUCUAUUUUCAUAAAAUCAACAAUAUUCAAUUUUACCAACCAAAUUAGGAUUCCAAGUUCUUACAUACCAUUAAGACAUCCCUACGUAUCAUCUAACAUCUUAGUUAAUCAAUCAUAACAAGUUCACUUCACAAAGUUCAACUAGUUCUCAAAAAUUGCAAAGUUCAAACUCAAUUCAUUUCUAGGUAAAAUCAGUUAAACCACUUUGAAACAACACUAAUUCAUGAUUACAUACUCAUUUAUUCACUAUAAAUACUUCCUUAAGCUGAAUAUUAUUUUUGAAAAUGUUUCAUGGUUUUGUGAAAAAGUUAUGAUAAAGUUUCAUGAAAAACUGACACAUGACCUAUGUGUAGUAAUUUGACCAUAAAUCAAAUUCUAGAAAACAUUUUGAAGCCACCCACUAAUUAUCACACAACCUAACCCUUCGUAUAAUAUAUUUUAGAAAACCCAAUCAAUCGAAUAGUAAGCCUUCACAAAUUCCAUUUUUAAAAUCAAGCAUUCACACAUUGACAUUUUUAUCAUAUCUACCACUUCGUUCACAACCAUCACCCCAUCCACCAAAUGUCUAUUCACAAAAAAAAACUGAUUGAGAGGUUAAAAUAAUAGAAUUCACCAUCUUUAACAGUCUUGCCACCAAAACCAUUGAGAAUAGCUUAUACAAACUACCAAAUACUUGACAUUCGGAAUAAAAGUCACAAAAUAGGACAAAAAAGUUUGUGAAAAUUUUUCAUUGACCAUAAAAUUGAUCAAACAUUAUCUGAAUUUCAUGUUUUAAAAAGUUCCAAAUGUCCUUGAAAAAAGUAUUAUUAAAACAAUGGAAGACCAAAAAAUAACAUCAAAACCGUCAAACCUUCAUACAUUUAAAAUUAUAAUGGCUAACGUGGUUCAUUAUAUUUACAAAUAAAAAAGUCACGUUGACUAAUAGGAUUAAGUUUUUUUUUUUUUUUUAUCUUAUAUGUUUAGGUACGCAAGUAGAAUAAUUGUUUAUUCCAACAGACACUUUCUUUAGAUAGAUGAAAGUUUUGUCCACGCGAGCUUAGCUCAGUUGGUUUGAACAAUGCAUAAUAUAUGUAAGAUCCAGAGCUCAAACCCUGAUCACCACAAAAAAAAGAUAGAUGAAAGCUUUAUAAAUUGAUUUAAAUCCAACGACAACGGAUGUGUUGGUUGUUGUGUAAGGUAAAAUAUUCUUUCUUACAAUUAGAGGUAGCGUUGGCAAUGAACCGAACCAACUCGAAAAUAGUUCGAUACUCGAUUCGACAAUUGGUUCGUUGAACUUGGUUCACACCAAAUGAGUCGAACUUGAGUUGUAAAUUAAGCUCGUUAAAUAAAUGAAUUGAACUUGAACUUAGUAUGGUUCGACUCGUCUGGUUCAUGAACAAGCUCGACAUAUAUACAUACACAAUUUUUUAUAUAAUAUAGGAUUUCUUACAAACUUCUUCUAAUAAUUAUGCACUUUUUUCAUAUAAAAUAUUACUAAUUGCUAAUUUAAUAAAAAUCAAUGAUAAUUGUAAUACUAGAAAGGGGGAAAAAAGUUAAUGCUUUCACAAGGCUUUAAAAUAAAGUUGCGCAUAAAAAUUGUCCCACAUCGAGGAGUUUUGCAAAAGAUUAGAGAGGAGGAGUAUAUAUAUACAAGCGGUGCAUUAUAAGUGCAACAUAUAAAACUAAUAGUGGUAGUAUAUGCUACAGUAACAGUAAAUAUAAAGUGCUGCUACCUUUCUAAAGGUUUUGCAUUAUAUUAUUGUUGUUUUAAAGGUUUUGUUUUUUCAGGUCAAAGACAUAUAUUUUUGACAAAAAAAACUUUUUUUUGAAAUAUGCAAUUUGAGCAAAUGAGGUGAACCUAAUGAGUCGAACCGAGUGGUUCAUGAACUUUAAACAAGCCGAACUCGAGCUAAAAAAAAGGUUCGUUUGAAACUCGAGCCGAACCAAUUCUUAUUGAGUUGAGUCGAGCUCAGACAGUUUCGAUUUGACUCGACUCAUUUUCAGCCUUAGGUGGACAACUGUCGGAUUCGAUCUUAAAACCUUGAUCCGAAGGACACUUGUGGGUGGUAAAAAGGAACCCACCAGCUCUGACCAUUAGUUCAUGGGCUAGGACGGAUUUUAGGUUGAGGAAAAAAGUGGGUCUGGUGGGCUGGUAGCUUUGGUUUAUUCUUGUCGUCAUCUUCAAAUUUUAUGCAAGAUCAGACAAACAAAGCAGAAUGGCAGUCGAAUCAUAUGCUUGUAGUAGUGUGGUGGUCGUGGAAUAGAUUAAACGGAGGACCAAAUGUUAAUUUUGUUAUGAGUAACAUAUAUUUAUGAGUUAAAUUUUGUUCCCCAAUUUUGUAGGAAAAUUUGUAGCAUUACAAGAACCUCCACCAUAACUUUAGAGUUUUAAUACGAGUGAUAAAUUAGUUAUGAAUUUCUUUAAAAAAAAUUAUAAUUAAUAAUUAUAAUUAAUUUGUCUUUAAUCGUGGUGGAGUUUAUUAUGAUGAUUCAAACAUGCUUAUAAAAUUGGUAGCGAAAAUUGAUCUGUCAGUAUAUGCUUACUCAAAAUAAAAUUGUAAUUUUGCACAUUUUGAUCGAAAAAUCAAAAUAACUCAAGGUCUCUUAAGAAUUUUUUUUUUUUUGUUUACGGGGUCUCUUAAGAAUGUUGUGAUACUUUAGAGAUCCUUCAUAUGUAUUUCUAUAGAUGACUCGGCAAAAAAAAAAAAAAACUUAAAAUUUGAUUUCUAGAUUGAUGUUUUCGUUGUUUUAGUUUUGGAGAUUUUGACGCGAAAAUAAAAUUUGUUUAUGAUUCAUAUAUAUUUCUAUAGAUCCUUCAUAUUUCAGCUUCUUAAUUCAUUUAUUACUAAAAAAAUGAAAUUUGUUGAGUUAGAAAAUAAAAUAUUUAUGAUUCAACCAAAAUUAGUUUUGGAAAAAAUAUAUAUAUUCCCACAUCUUAAAAAAAAAAACACUACCAGGUGUGAUUGGACUGUUAUAUGACCAAAAUAGAAUCUGUUGAUAUUGGCUUCAAAUUUGUGGUCUGGAAGAACAGAGAAAUCGUGACACGAUUUUGGCAUCGUGACACGAUUUCAAGUGGCCGUGAGCUAGUUUGCAGGACGCCAAAUCGUGGCACGAUCUUGGGAAAUCGUGACACGAUUCAGAAACUUGCUCGUUAAGUAUCACUGAUAAGGACUUGUCUACCUUGGGUCCGUUGCAGAUCGUGACACGAUCUAGGGAAAUCGUGGCACAAUUUCUUCAGAGGAAGACUAGUAUAUAUUGUGUUCUUCUGCUUUUUUGAAGUGAAUCUUAAGAGAGCUUGUAUGAGCUUAGAGAGAGAACUUGGAUAGCAAAGGAGGGAACCAAUGGGUUGAGUGUCUUUGUUGAGAGUGUCUCUUGGGUUUGGGAAAACAUUGUAAUCACCUUGGGUUUUAGGGUUCAUAGUGUGAGAGUGGGGAAACACCAAAGGGUAGAGUCUAGGGUUUGUUCAUGUGUAAAGCUUGAAGGCUAGAGUUCUUCUAACCUUUUGUAACACUUUCUCAUAUUGGAUUGGAGAGCUGCUCUCUCCCCCAGAUUAGGCCAUAUUGGCUGAACUGGGUCAACAAUCUUCUCGGUGUUUUGUUCUUCCUUUUACCGCUUAUCUUGUUUUGCUUUGGUAUCUCUUUGUGUGGUUUUGCUAUACACUAGUCUAGGGCUGUUUUGUUGUUGUUUGCUUGGAGACCAUUUGUUCUCAUUGAUUACCACUAUCUCUUGCUCCACACAUCAUUGUUUAUUUCAUUGGUGUGAAGGUUUUUUUUUUGAACCGGAUUCACAACAAUUGGCGCCCACUGUGGGGCAUAGGCGUAUUUGAUAGUUGGUAUCAUGGGGUCAAAGUGGGACAUCAAGAAGUUCACCGGAAGUAAUGAUUUCGGGUUGUGGAAGGUUAAGAUGCAAGCGGUUUUGACACAACAAAAGUGUGUAGAAGCAUUGAAGGGUGAAGCGGCGAUGCCGGCAACCUUGACACAAGAGGAGAAGCGUGAGAUGGUAGACAAGGCAAAGAGUGUCAUUGUCUUAUGUCUCGGAGAUAAGGUCUUAAGGGAUGUCGCGAGAGAAGCUACCGCGGCAUCGAUGUGGGCGAAGUUGGAGUCAUUGUAUAUGACGAAAUCUUUGGCUCAUAGGCAACUCUUGAAGCAACAACUCUAUUCAUUCAAGAUGGUGGAGUCUAAAUCAAUCUCGGAGCAACUUACGGAGUUUAACAAGAUUCUUGAUGAUUUGGCCAACAUUGAAGUUAACAUGGAAGAUGAGGAUAAGGCUUUGUUGUUACUUUGUUCAUUACCAAAGUCCUUUGAGCAUUUCAAGGAUACCAUCCUUUAUGGUAAGGAGGGCACUACUACUUUGGAGGAGGUCCAAGCGGCUUUGAGAACCAAGGAAUUGACCAAGUUCAAUGACAUGAAGGUUGAUGAAGGUACUGAAGGCUUGAAUGUUACAAGAGGGAGGAAUGAGCAUAGAGGAAAAGGCAAAGGGAAAUCAAGAUCCAAGUCUAGGUCCAAGGGCUUUGACAAAUCAAAGUAUAAAUGCUUUCUUUGUCACAAGCAAGGUCAUUUCAAGAAAGAUUGUCCGGAUAAGGGGGGCGAUGGUAGUCCCUCGGUUCAAGUUACGGAGACUUCAAAUGAAGAAGGUUAUGAGAGUGAGGGUGCACUAGUGGUAACAAGUUGGGAACCGGAGAAGAGCUGGGUUUUGGACUCGGGAUGCUCUUAUCACAUGUGUCCUAGAAAGGAAUAUUUUGAGACUUUGAUUCUAAAAGAAGGAGGAGUUGUUUGACUCGGAAAUAACAAAGCUUGCAAAGUCCAAGGCAUGGGCAACGUUCGUCUAAAGAUGUUUGAUGGCCGUGAAUUCCUUUUAAGGGAUGUGAGGUUUGUUCCCGAACUUAAGCGUAAUUUAAUUUCCCUAAGCAUGUUUGAUAAUCUAGGUUAUUGCACUAGAAUAGAGCAUGGGGUUUGUAAAAUUUCGCAUGGUGCAUUGAUUACGGUUAAGGGGUCUAGAAUGAAUGGUUUAUACAUUUUAGAUGGUUCCAUAGUAAUUGGUAAUGCAUCGGUAGCUAGUGUUGCAUCUCAUAAUAAUUCUGAAUUGUGGCAUUUGAGAUUGGGGCAUGUUAGUGAGAGGGGUUUAGUUGAACUAGCUAAACAAGGUUUGCUAGGGAAAGAUAAAUUGAACAAGCUAGAAUUUUGUGAGCAUUGCAUACUAGGCAAACAACAUAGGGUGAAGUUUGGAAGUGGCAUGCAUCAUUCUAGUAGGCCUUUUGAGUAUGUGCAUUCGGAUCUUUGGGGUCCUUCUAAGACUCCUACUCAUGGGGGAGGUUUCUAUUUUCUUUCUAUCAUUGAUGAUUAUUCUAGGAGAGUGUGGGUCUUUUUGAAAAACAAAAGUGAUACCUUUGAAAAGUUCAAAGAAUGGCACACUCUCAUAGAAAAUCAAAUGGGAACUAAACUAAAAGGUUUAAGAACUGACAAUGGCCUGGAGUUUGUUUCAGAGCAGUUUAAUGAGUUUUGCAGGUUGAAAGGAAUCAAGAGGCAUAGAACCGUACCAAGAACACCGCAACAAAAUGGUCUUGCGGAACGCAUGAACAGGACUCUUUUGGAGCGUGUGAGGUGUAUGAUUCUAGGAGACGGGUUACCGAUGAGUUUCUGGGGUGAAGCCGUGACAACGACUGCUUAUUUGAUCAAUAGAUGUCCAUCAACGGGAAUAGACUUCAAGACACCUAUGGAGGUAUGGAGUGGGAAACCGGCAGAUUACUCCUCUUUGAAGGUUUUCGGAGCUUUGGCAUAUGCGCAUAUCAAGCAAGACAAGCUUGAGCCUAGAGCUUUGAAAUGUGUCUUCAUUGGUUAUCCGGAAGGUGUGAAGGGGUACAAGUUGUGGAAAUUGGAAUCUAGUGGAGGAUCAAGAGUCUUGAUAAGUAGGGAUGUUACCUUUGAUGAGACCCGUAUGGGGAUGAAGUGUAAAGACCUAGAGACCCAAGUACCGGAAACUAUGGUGGAGAAAACUCAAUUUGAGGUGGAGCUUCCAAAUGAAGAAGAAAAAGAUGUAGAAGAUGAAGCUUCGACAUCGGAUACAAGUGGAACUCAACCGGUAGUGGAUCCUGAGUAUCUAUUGGCUAGAGAUAGAGAAAGAAGGACCAUUACGGCUCCUAAGAGAUUCGGUUAUGCAGACUUGGUGUGUUUUGCUCUAAAUGCGGCGGAAGAUGUGCAAGACUCGGAGCCUAGAAACUUCAAGGAGGCAUUUGAGAGCAAAGAAAGCAAGUAUUGGUCGAAGGCGGUGAAUGAAGAGAUGGAUUCAUUGGAAAGGAACCAAACUUGGAAACUUGUGAAGCUACCUAAUCACCAAAGGGUAGUUGGAUGCAAGUGGAUCUUCAAGAAAAAGGAUGGCAUUCCGGGUGUUGAAGGUCCAAGGUACAAAGCAAGACUUGUGGCAAAGGGUUUCACUCAAGUGGAGGGGAUCGACUACAACGAGAUCUUUUCACCAGUGGUGAAGCAUUGUUCCAUAAGGAUACUUAUGGCUAUUGUGAAUCAAUUCAAUCUUGAGUUGGAACAAAUGGAUGUGAAGACCGCUUUCUUACAUGGUGACCUUGAAGAGACAAUCUACAUGGAGCAACUAGAAGGUUUUGUGGAGGACAAGUCUAAGGUGUGUCUUUUGAAGACCGGUUUUGUGAGAAGCGGAUAUGAUUCUUGUGUGUACAUGUUGGAAAAGAGUGAGAAAGUCAUUCUCUAUCUUCUUUUAUAUGUGGAUGAUAUCUUGAUGGCAAGCUCUAGCAAGGAUGAGAUUAUGAAGCUCAAGGAGAGGUUAAAUGGUGAAUUUGAGAUGAAAGAUCUUGGUCCGGCAAAGAGAGUUCUUGGGAUUGAUAUCGUGAGGAAUCGUGACAAAGGCAAACUUUUCUUAUCUCAACUUGGUUAUUUGAAGAAGGUGGUGGAGCAUUUUAGAAUGUCAAACUCUAAAACCGUGAGCACUCCCUUGGGUCACCACACAAAGUUUUCCAUACAACAAUGUCCUCAAUCCGAGGAUGAGAAGCAAUUGAUGGAAGGUACUCCCUAUGCAAGUGGGGUUGAAAGCAUCAUGUAUGGAAUGGUUUGUAGUAGGCCGGACUUAGCUUAUGCGGUUAGCAUUGUGAGUCGGUUUAUGGCAAAUCCGGGAAUUGUGCAUUGGCAAGCUUUGAAGUGGGUAUUGAGGUAUUUGAAUGGGUCCUUGAAGGGUGGUUUGAAGUACACAAGGGCAGCUCAAGAUGAAGACGCUUUGGAGGGGUAUGUUGAUGCGGAUUAUGCGGGCAACGUGGACACUAGAAAAUCCUUAUCGGGUUUUGUGUUUACUCUUUAUGGCACGGCUAUUAGUUGGAAGGCAAAUCAACAAUCUGUGGUGGCAUUAUCUACAACUCAAGCGGAGUACAUCGCACUUGUUGAAGGUGUGAAGGAGGCUAUAUGGUUGAAAGGGAUGAUUGGUGAGUUAGGAAUUACUCAAGAAUGUGUGAAGAUACAUUGUGAUAGUCAAAGUGCCAUUCACUUGGCAAAUCAUCAAGUGUAUCAUGAAAGGACAAAGCACAUUGACAUUCGCCUGCACUUUGUUAGAGACAUGAUUGAAUCAAAAGAGAUUGUAGUUGAGAAAGUGGCAUCGGAGGAGAAUCCGGCGGAUGUGUUCACCAAGUCAUUGCCUAGAUCAAGAUUCAAGCAUUGCUUGGACUUGAUCAAAUUUGUCGAAGAGUAAUUCCCUUUUGGAGAGAGCAGCAUGGUGGUUGAUGGUUAAACUGACAUCACCACCAAAUUAGAAGUCAAGGUGGAGAAAUGUUGAUAUUGGCUUCAAAUUUGUGGUCUGGAAGAACAGAGAAAUCGUGACACGAUUUUGGCAUCGUGACACGAUUUCAAGUGGCCGUGAGCUCGUUUGCAGGACGCCAAAUCGUGGCACGAUCUUGGGAAAUCGUGACACGAUUCAGAAACUUGCUCGUUAAGUAUCACUGAUAAGGACUUGUCUACCUUGGGUCCGUUGCAGAUCGUGACACGAUCUAGGGAAAUCGUGGCACGAUUUCUUCAGAGGAAGACUAGUAUAUAUUGUGUUCUUGUGCUUUUUUGAAGUGAAUCUUAAGAGAGCUUGUAUGAGCUUAGAGAGAGAACUUGGAUAGCAAAGGAGGGAACCAAUGGGUUGAGUGUCUUUGUUGAGAGUGUCUCUUGGGUUUGGGAAAACAUUGUAAUCACCUUGGGUUUUAGGGUUCAUAGUGUGAGAGUGGGGAAACACCAAAGGGUAGAGUCUAGGGUUUGUUCAUGUGUAAAGCUUGAAGGCUAGAGUUCUUCUAACCUUUUGUAACACUUUCUCAUAUUGGAUUGGAGAGCUGCUCUCUCCCCCAGAUUAGGCCAUAUUGGCUGAACUGGGUUAACAAUCUUCUCGGUGUUUUGUUCUUCCUUUUACCGCUUAUCUUGUUUUGCUUUGGUAUCUCUUUGUGUGGUUUUGCUAUACACUAGUCUAGGGCUGUUUUGUUGUUGUUUGCUUGGAGACCAUUUGUUCUCAUUGAUUACCACUAUCUCUUGCUCCACACAUCAUUGUUUAUUUCAUUGGUGUGAAGGUUUUUUUUUUAACCGGAUUCACAACAGAAUCUGUAUUAAUUUUUACAUGGUCAAUUUUAAAACUUCGCGUAUAUUACAUGAGCUAUUUGAAUAAUUAAUUCUAGCUAUAAUUAUUUUUUGACGAAAAAAUAAGUGAUAUUCAUUUAUUAAAUUCGAUAGAGUACUUUGGUACAAUACAAAUUUAAAGUUGCUAAAAAUUAAAAUGAUGAAUCUUUGAAGCAACUUACGAUAUCCAUGUCAAUAUAGCAUAACACGACAGAGUACAUAUGUCUACAAAUAUAACUAUAUUCAACUCUUUGUAAUACUCAUUUUUCCAAAUUUGCAACGUCAACCAUGAAGUCAUUAAUUGAAUCUGCAUUUUAUCAACUAAUUAACGAAUUUUAUCCACGAAUAUAUAUAUAUAUAUAUAUAUAUAUAUAUAUAUAUAUAUUAUUCAUCUCUAAUAGGCAUGGCAUGGCAUUGGGGCGGGGUGAGGACGAGUUUUAUAUUCCCCGUCCCCAUACCCGAUUCACAUAUACUUGCCCGUUACCCUACUCAUAUCCAACGGGGAUGAGAAAUUGAACCACAUCCCCGUUCCCGACGGGUUCGGGUAUUCCCGCUUCAUCUCCAUCCCCGCAUUGAAUAAUUUUUUUGAAUAAAAAAAUAUAAGUUUUAUUGCAACCCCUAGAGAAAUGAUGUAAUGUAUUAUCCAACAAUAUGUUCACUUUUAACAUUUGUUAGACCGAUUGAUUUAGUUGCUUUCCUUUAAAUAUCAAUGGUAGUUUUUAUAACACGACAGUUAUCAAACAAAAUAACAUGACAUAUUAAUGGUAAUUUUCUGCAUUCGGGACGGGUUUGGUUAUGAGUUUGGGAUGGAUACCUAUAUACUCGUUAUCCGUCCUAUACCCGUGUUAUAAAUUUGGGAAAAACCCAAACCCAAUCAAAACGAGGAAAAUUCGUCAUCCAAAUAGAUUUGAUUCGAGUGAGUAACCACGGAUAUGAAUUUUGUUGCCAUGUCUAAUCUCUAAGCCUACUAGGGAGAAUUAUCAAAUCUCAAAACCAAGUCAUAUUCAAACAUUUAACACAUAAUAACAUUGUCCUUUAUUUAUUCAUGAUAUAAGAAACGUGGCCACCAUGUAAUCAUUUACUUCGGAAAUCAUAUUUUAUUUAUGGAAAAUGAUUAUAAAAAUUUCAUUCUCUCUUAUAUUCUUUUCUGAGAGUUCCCCAUUCACAUUGCUUCAUUAAAAUAUAUAUUUAUGGUCAACGAUUCAAAAUGAGAGUUCCACUAGCUUAUCUGUUUUCUUGAGAUAAAACUAAUCGAAAUAGAAAAAAGUCUAACACUUUGUGAAAAAAAUGGGAGAAACCAUUUCUGAAGCUUCAUCCUCAGAAUCUAAAUUGAAGAAUCAAGAAGAUAGUUUCUACCUUUAUAUACAUCCUCAAGAGUUACACUUUCCACGUAAUUAAGCCUCUUCAAUUUUCAAAAACCAACAAAAUUAAAUAAGAAGUUUCUAGUUUCUAAUUCAUUUUUCAUUCUGUGUCUUGUUUCUAGUUUUAAAUUCUAAUAGUUUUUAACAUUUGCUUGGUUUCUGUGGAUCAGUUGAGUUGAAGAAAAAUAUCUCAUGCUCUUUGCAGUUGUGGAACAAGUCAGAUAAUUAUUUGGCUUUCAAGGUAAUGAUUUUCAUUUUCGUUUGUUAGAAAAUGAUAACUUGUGCAUUUAAAAAAUAAGUUAAGAAACUAAAUAUAGAAGUAUUUAUUGAAAAUGGGGUAUCUUAAAAAUUAAAAAAAUUAAAAAUUUUAUUAGUAAACUUAUCCUUUAAUUCUUUUUUUUAGCUUCUUAAGAUGUCCUUGUUUGUUUUAUAAAUUGAGUAUUGAUUAGGAAAAAUUGUAAUUUUGAUUUGGAUUGAAAUUGAUGGUGUUGCAACUUGCAGGUUAAGACUACAAUUCCUGAGAAAUAUUGUGUUAGGCCUAAUAUUGGAGUUCUGUUGCCUACGUCUAUUUCUGAUAUUACAGGUGAAAUAAUUUGCUUGAUUAUGUGAACAAUCAUUUGCUUACAAAAACACAAAGACAUGUAAAGAAGAAUAAUACUGCAUUUUUAUUACUGAAUACUUAUUUUAAGGUAUAUUUUCCUCCAAUCUCAAUUAUGAGAAAUUCUUGUGUAGGAACGAACCUAGCCUACCAUCCUUACAAACAACAAAUUAAAACAUGACACGUCGUUGUUUUUCCACCAUGAAUGGUGUUGGUGGUGAAUGGUGAUGGAAGAUCACAAACUAAUGGUGGUGGAGAGAGAGAAAGGACUAGUUGAUUUAUUUUUUUAUAAUUAUUUUAAAAGAAAACAACGACGUAGCAUGUUUUAAUUUGUUGUUUGUAAGGAUGAUAGGUUAGGUUCGUAGAAUUAAGAAGAUGAACAAAUUGUUAUCCUUAAGUUUGGUUGAAUAUGUACUCAUCAUCUAAUUAUUCAAUACGUUAUUAUAUUUUUUAAUUUACUAAUAUAAACAUAAAAAUAUUUUGAAAUUUUUUUGCAUAUGGGAUUGCUACUCAAAAAAAUUCAAGGUAUCUAAAAAUUCUUCCUAUAAUAGAUAAAACCAAAAAAAAUCCUUUAUUAAUUCAACUUUUUCCAUUUUUACAUAUAUCCUUAUAGAAAACUGAGAAAUGAUGAAAAUAAAUUAGGUCAAAUUUGACUUUACAAAACUCAAAUCCGACCUAAUCUAAAAGUUCAAGGUCUAGGUCUGGCUUAUAACAUGUCAUAGAUUUUUUAGUCUCAAAUCUGGUAUUUUUAAAAGUCUUGUAGGACUAUUUAAAAGUCUUGUAUGAAUAUAAUUAAAUAAGUAGUUUAAUCUAUUUUUUAGGACUAUUUAUCCUACUUAGUAUAAUUAAUAAGGUUCAUUUUUGGGUCGUGCCCAUUUUAGACAUUCCCUUUACAUGUUGACAUAAUGUUUACAUGUGAUUUGUUGUACAAUGUCAUGUAGUAUGUUCUUUCAUACUCACUUUUCUAACUAUGUAGAAUCCUUGUUUACUUAAUGAUUGUUUAUAGUUACAAUGCAAGCCCUAGAAGAGGCACCUCCUGACAUGCAAUUGAAAGAUAAAUUUAUCCUUCAAAGCAUAGUUGCAAGGCCUGGAUCAACCACUAAAGAUAUCACUUCAGAUAUGGUAGAGAUUAGAUAAUCACAAUAUAUAGUGUUUUUCACUUGCAUAUUUUAAUCGUUUUCUUUUCUCAUUGCAUGAAGUUUAAUAAAGAUUCCGGAUAUGAAGUUAAAGAGUCCAAAUUUAGAGCUGUUUGUGUUGCUCCUCCUCCUAAUUACCCACCAUCACCAGUUCAAGCAUCUGGCUCUUCAGAUCAGGUUUCUUUUUAUUUCAUUUUUUAGAAGUAGUUUACAAAUAAUUUCUAUGCAAUAUAAUAAGCGUGACUCAGAGUAAAUAAUAGGAAGAGAAAAACAUUAUUUUAUUGAAAAGCAUUUAUUUAUUUUUGUAUGUUAACCCUACGGUUCUCGAGGGAAAAGGACAGUAGUAAUUUGAAGUUCGUUCCUUAGUUAAGUAAAGUCUGACCAAUAAUAUUGUUCUACCUAGUAAUCGAACUCAGAUUCUCCUAAACAAUUCUUCGUUUAAUUAAACUCAUUAAUCAUUUGCGUCCAAUUAUUCAUUAAGAGCUGUAUGCUUCUAAAUGUAACUGAAAUAAGAAAUAAUUGUUGAGUAACAAACUCCGAAACUUUAACCACGGCUUUAUUUGAUGAUAAAAAACUGGAAUAUUAAAACAAACUCUACGAAAGACUUAGUCAACUGAUGAAGCUAUGAGUAACAACUACCAGUACUAUCAAUGAAGUGUACUUUGUGCUGUUGGAUCGGUAGUGUUGACUUUGGACUUUAGAGUGUGUUCUUCUUCGAGAUCACAUGCUCGAUUCUCCCUAGUGUCAGUUAAGGUAGGCUAAUUUAAUUUAGCUUCUUAAAAAAAAAGUGUACUUUGUGCCAUUAUGAGACCUUAAAACUUGGAUCACGCAGCCUUUUUUGUUUUCAAUCCAAUGCUUAAAUCUCCAAAAUACUCCUGCAACCUCUAACUAUGACUUGAAAAAAUAAAUCCAACACAUUUUGGUGUAAGUGGAGCAAAGGUUGGAUAUAAUAAGAGAGGGGACACAUAUGCUUGAUGUCUUAAAAUUUUGGGUAAAAGUGUAGUGUCUAAGCCUCUUAAUGGUCAUAGUCGUUUAGUCCAUUGCAGCUCCCAGCGCUCCGCAGACUCCUCAACAUUAUCUAGUCCAUUGUCACUCCUAGCACUCCCUAGACUCCCCAACACAAUCUACAAAGACGGUGUAAUAUUUCCUCUCUUUAAGUGAAGCAGUCUUUUGAGGUCCACCUUGGUUGUUGCUCUUUGUUUCUCUCAAGGUUGCUUGUUUGAAAGAUAAUCUUGCUUCUUGUAGAUGGGUGAUUCAUCAUCUAAGUCAGGUAAGACAUAAACCAACUCAUUUCGUUGCAAAUGGCCCAAUCUUUUGAGCCAUAUCUCCGUGUUAUCAAUAGUAACUUGAUAAGUUGCUAUCUUUUCCUUCAUUGGAUUAAAUGAGAAACGUUUGCUUCUCAUUUUAAUAUUGAAAAUUACCUUAUCAUUGGCAUCUUCGAUCAUACUAUGAUUAUUUUCAAAGAUGACUAUAAAUCCUUUCUCAUGUAAUUGACCCACACCUAGAAGGUUUUGAUCAAUCACAUGUACAUAAAAAAAUAUAAUUGCGACUCAUGUAGGGACUCACCUAGUUCUAGAAGCAAAGAUAUCCCACCUUGAUCUAGAAGGAUCUAAUAUAGUAACUCACUUGUGGGGUGUGCAUUUACCUAUAUAAGCAUCGGAGACCUUAUAAUGAAUCAAUGAACAAUUUCAGUGUUAUUUUAGUUUGUUAGAUAUGAACAGUCAUUAGAGUAAUUUAGUACUUGAUGAUAUUUAUCACCUAUCAAGUGGUGCUUUCAUUGCCAUGAAUUCCCCUCCCUACCAUUACUUCCACCACCAUCAAGAUUCAUUUCCAUUACCAAGAACGCAUCGACACCUAGAUCUCACCAACAUCCACACCACGUCACCAAAAUAUCUCUACCACCAACAACCUACAUUCCACAAUUAUACUCACACACAACCAUCACACCACACGUCUUAUAGCUUCCCCCAUAUCAACACUCUUAAUUCAGCAAUUUGCAUCCCUAACUUUUACCAAGAUCCUAGUUUCAGACACCACCAAUCGGUCAUGCUUUACAAUUUGUACACACCAUAUGCAAGUAUGUUUCUCCUCCAUCGUGAAAUUCUGGCACUCAGUAAAAAAUGUUAUACACAAUAUUAAGACAAGCGAGAUGUUAAGAAUAAUGUCAAGACAUUGUGACAACACAGAUAACAAACAAAAAUCAUGAAUAAUAAAAAUAGGAAGUAAAAGGCACAAGUUGUUUGUGAACCUACUUCAGUGCAACGUCACCUACGUCUCAGGGCUACCGACCGAAAAGGAAAUUCACUAUAAUAGUAUUAGGUUGAAGCGUACAUAAAAAUUAUCUCCAAUCUACUAGCUUUGCACUUAAUCACUACCCGAGCAAUUUCUAUUUGAGACUCUCCUAGAUAUGAGAUCCCCACUCAUUUCCUCUCAUCCACAGUCCCAGUCCCAGUUAUUGACUCAACAGUAACAACAGUAAUGGAGACACACUCCUAGACAAAGAAUCAACUCUUGCUUACAAGCUAUUGAGUGAUUCAGAGUUUACAACUCAAAUACAACUCAAUGUAUCAACGUGAUAGAGUGAGUCACAAAUAACAAGGACAGAAUAGCCCUCAAAUAUACUUUUGUGAAUUGCAGUUUCAGUAGUGAAUUAGGUCUUGAGUCUUCUUUUAUAUAGCCUGAAUGAAGAAUGGGUUUGAUGCACAAGUCGGCCCAAACAUCUGGCCGAACCACAUGGUCUUCAGCACAAAAUCUUGAAGAAGAUCAAAUGUUUCAUUAAAUGUUACAACAUGACAACUUAAGAAACACGUCACAGAUAGACCGCCUAACAUUGCUUCUAGAAAGCACACGUUUCUUGGUCCACUCUUCACGUGAAUCAUUAACUACGGAGAUUAUUCAAGGAUGUCACGUUUAAAAAUAAUCACCAAAAAAGCAGAGCAAUGCACGCGAUGAUAUCGUAUAAACAUGUCAAGACAUCUUGUUCGACAUCUUGCUAGAACUCUUAUUUUAACAAAAAAAUGCGGCCAACAUACUCGAUAAACCUAUAACACAUCGAAUUAUGGAUAUUCAGCUCAUAACCACCAAUAUCCAGAUCAACCACAUAAUACUUAUUCCCAAUCUAUUAUCCAAAAUUCUAUGAAUGAAUUAUCUCAAUCUUAAAAAAAAUUCUGCAAAUGAAGUGAGAGAGUUAAACCAAGCUUCACAUCAGUGGUUCAUGAAAUUUUGGAGUUACUAAACAAGUUGAAUGAACUUUUAUUUGAAGAGUCUGCUGAGAAAAAUGAGCAAAAUCAAGAGAAAUCAACAGAAGCAAUUGAGGCAGUUGUAGUCCAAGCACCGCCACCAAAAUUUGAUUUGCAACUAUCCCAACCAUGGCAGAAGUAACGAAUCUAAAUCAAAGUCUGUUGGAGCCACCACCCAUCAACCUGUUUCCGAGGCUACCGGUGACACCACUGGAUCUUCCUAUAUCCGCGUCUACGCAUAUACCUUCGUCAUCGUUGAAGCAACUACCACCGCCAAAGCCACUGGUUCCGAAAUCUCAUUGUUGUCAUAACCACCGUCCACCGGUUCACUGCCGUGACCACCGUCGAAACUGCCGGAUAUGCAAUCACAACUAUCAGGUUUUCUAUUCUUAAAAGAGAUUUUCGUGAUUUGUUUCAUAUCCUAAUUUUUUGGUUCGAGAGGAUUCAAUUUGAUGUAUUGAUUUUUGCUUCAAAUAUGGUCCCUUUGCUUACUUUUAUGGUCACCUUGGCACAAUACAUUUGGUUAAUGUUAAGGACUUUGAUCUCUAUGCACCUUCCAUGAAUUAUGCUGUUGCUGAAAUUUAUUUAUUGGAUGGGAAUCUUUGCAAAUAUGAUGCUAGUAAUUGGUUAGCUUAUCUAGUUAAUUGCGACGACUCUAUUUUUGAUUGAAGCUAAAUUCUCUAAUUUGAAGCCAUGGAGUGGUGGCCUUGUUCUUAAGCUAAUUCUCUAAUUUGAUCUCUAAGUGCAUCAUGUUAUACGAGAUGAGGCAGGAAAUCAUCAAUGAGUUUCUUAUUUCUUUUGUGCCCACUACAAACAAUUGGAUCCUGGUCAACAUUUGUGUGUGUCUUUAACAAAAAGGUCUUCUAAGAGCAAGCAAUGGAAUCCUGAAAAAUUAACCAAUUUUUUUACAACCUUGAGGACAAGGUUGAUAUUGAAGGGUAGGUAAUGAUAGGAUAAUUAAAAUAAUGAGCACUCAUGUGGUGACUUACCAAGUUUUAGAAGCAAAAAUACUCACCCUUGAACUUGAAGGAUCUAACAGAGAUAGUAAUAUUGAGUAUGUUAAGGUGUACUCAUCUUAUUGUAGGUGUGUAUUUACCUAUAUAAGCAUUGUAAGACCUUAUAAUGAUACAAUAAAAAAUUUCAAUAUUAUUUUAGAGAUAGAAGUAGUUAGAGUUAUUUAGUUGUGUGGGUCAAUAUCUUUAUAAUAUAUAAUUUAUAUCAACUAUUUAUCAAUUUAGAGCCUUAAGACUAAUUAUAUUUCUAUUGGGAUAAUUAAUUAUUUAAUUGAAGUGAUAUGGACUCUAUGAGUGGAUGUCUGGAUGACCAAUUAACGGGAUAAUGGAAACCUUAAUGACCAUCACACUAUAAGAGGCUAUGAUUCCCAAUACAUUGUACACGACAAACUCUUUGUUCUUCCCAUUUGAAUCUAAAGAGAACUUGAAACAUAAAUGUAAGAACCAAAAGGUCGCCGCUAACCCUAUGUUGUAUGUUUCAGAUCUCUGUCUAUUUAAGAUCAUUGCUAGUGAGAGGGCCAUCAAAGUUCCAGGUAUUAUAAUACUUAUUAUUAAUAUACUUGAUAAAUCAAACAUGUCGUAAAUCCGAGCAUAAUCAUAUUCAAUGUUCUGUUUGCUUCGACUAUUCAUUCAUAAUCAUUGAACAUGUUUUUAUAUAAAAUCUGUUUUCAUUUCUAACAUUAGGAGGCCAUAAUCACAUUCAAAAUGUAUUUCGAAAAUGAAAUGCAUAAUUCUCCAUGUUUUCUUAGUUUAUAUAUUGAUUUAUAUUACUAUGCUGGCCUUUGAACAUGAUCUUGUUGAAAUACAUUAAUUUUCUUUUCUAUUUAAGCAAGUUAUUUGGGAAUGUCACCCAUAUAAGCUGAUUGAAGUUGAUAGAUUCAUGUCAUUAAUUUACAUUCUGAAAAAUAACUUCUUCACAAACCCCAUGUCCCUAUAGACCUUAUCUUCAUGUAUCGAACAUUAUCGAAAAGAUUUGAAUUGUGAAAUAUUAUAGCUCAUUUUUUAUUUCUUGUUAUUUUAGGCAAAGCCAAAUAUUUCAGAGUUAAUCGCAGAGAGAGAAUUUCUUAAGGAAUUAUAUAAAAGGCAUCAAGAAGAACUGGUAUGCCAUUCAUACCAUGAUCAUAGUUUGGUGAUCUUGAAUAUUUUGUCGUGUGAUCUUGAAUAUUUGUCAUGCGAUAAAUUUAUUCAACUAUUUACAUAAACUUAAUUAUUUUUUUUUAUUAAGAAGUUUAAUGGCUAGAAAUUUACCUUGAAGUGUCUGAGAGUCGAACCCCUUAGAACAUAAAUUGUGUUCUUAUAUGUAGCAGAAAUGCUUAUCCAAAUAAACUAUUUUAGCAAGAUGACAGAAAUAGAAAAAUAAAGUUGUAAAACUGAAAGAGAAGAAUAGAGAUUAUGCUUGCAAUGUGAAUCACAUUAAUAUUAUAUCUAACCAAUGAUGUAUUCAUAUUCUAAUACUUCCCCUUAAUUCAUAACUGCUGAAUGUUCACAACACCAAGUUUUUUCCUCAAAAAUUCAAAUAUGUCAAGCUUCAAAGUCUUUGUAAAGCCAUCUGCAAGCUGCAAUUAUGUAGGACAAUACUGCAACUCAAUCAUACCAUUAGUCACCUGCUUCCAAAUGAAACGAAAUCUAGUCUCAAUAUGUUUGCUUCUACCAUGAGAGAUGGGAUUCUUGACAAGACUUAUGGCUGACUUGUUGUCAAUUCUCAGUGUUAAGAGGCUUCAUCACUUCACACUUAAUCUCUUUCAUUGAUGAAUCCAACCACAAAGCUUGACAUCACUACUAAAAAAAGCAAAAUUAGCGAGGGAAAUUAGUGACGGAAAAAAUGAAAUUCCUCACAAAUUUCUUGGUCGCAAAAUUUAGUGACGGAAUUAGAGAGAAAUUUUACGUUUUCCCUCACAAACUUUUGUUGUUUUAGUAGUGCAUGUAGCAAAUGUACCUGCAAUGUACUCAGAUUCACAUGAUGAGAGCGCAAUAACAGGUUGGCUUUUUGUAAGUUUGAUCAUCCUAAGUUAGUUAGUUAUAACUAACCAACAAGAUAACUUGCAAGUUAUCUAUCUAACUAAUGCUUAUCAUCUAAUUCUUCAUGAUGCAAUACAAGCCUCGCACAGAACAAGCCUACAAGUAUAUAGUGUUGAUCUUAACCCAAUUAAUUAUGAUAACCAUUACUCUUUCUAGAAUUAUACUAUAGUACUAAUUUACAUUACUGUAAUGGCCUUUGAUAAUGAUGUUGUUGUAAUACAUUGAGUUUCUUUUCAGUUUAAGCAUAUUCUUUGGGAAUGUCCCCCAUAUUAUAUCUGACUAAAGUUGAUAGGUUCAUGUUAUUUAUUUACAUUAUUAACUCUGAUAUUUAAAAAUAACCCAUGGCCCUACAGAACUUAUUCAUGUCUAUUCAUUUAUGGAUUUCUAUUGAUAAGAUGUGAAUUCUGAAAUCACUACAAGAAAGAGUAAAAUUAACGAGGGAAAUUAGUGACGGAAAAAAUGAAAUUGCUCACAAAUUCCUUGGUCGCAAAAUUGAAUGACGGAAUUAGAGAGGGAUUUCACGUUUUCCCUCACUAAUUUUUAUUUUUUUAGCAGUGAAUAUUGUUGCUUAUUUUGAAUUUCUUAUUAUUUUAGGAGAGAAACGUUGUUAUUGAGAAAAAUAAAAAGCUUGAGCCCAAGAACUGGUAUGUCAUUCAUUUCGUAAAUUUUCUUUUCCGGAUGCUUAUGCAAAUUUUAUCUUUGAAUUUUUAGUCAGGUUAUAUUGAUUGUUAUCUUGAAAAAUUAUUGAUCGUUUAAAUCAUUUUCCUUGUCAGAAUACCCUGAUUGUGAAGUGUGAGGCCAAAGACGAUUGUUGUUGUAUAUUGUAGAUAUCUUGAUGAAAUUAUCAUGGUCGGUUAUGAGGUAUAAGACAUGUAAUAAUAUUAUUUUAAAAAUAAUAUAUACUCCCAACUCUAUAAAAUGAGUUUAUCUCUCUUCAAAAGAUAUAUGCUCAUUAAAUAAAGAGGAUCGUAACUCCAUAAUACGACAUAUAAUAUAACGAUUGUACUUGUUGAUUGGAUUACUCUUGAAGUUGCCAACAAAGUAAUAAAAAAUUGUGCUAUUUGUGUUGUUAUUUGUUCAAUCAAAAAGAUAUUGAAGGAACUAACAUAAAAGAUGGCAUCACAAUAUAAUUUUACAUCGUCGGUGUAUAUUAGAGCUUCAAGACUAUAAUGAGCAUAUUUGAUCUGGCUAGUUAUAUAUAAAUCUUAUUUUGUUAUAUCAAUGUCUUUAUAUCUAUAUUAACACCUACAUGAUAGUUUGAUUCUUUCUUUCGGAUACACCAUUAUGCUUCGGUGAAAUUAUUAAUUCACUUGUCUCUCCACACCUUUGUCUUCACAAAAUUUAUUGGACGUGUACUCUUUUUCACGGUAACUUCUCAAAAUUUUUAUGGAUUUGCAACAAAAUCGCAUCGUGAUUUUAUUGAACCUCUUAAAUAUAGCUUUUGCUCUACAAAUUGAAGAUAAAUUGUGAAAAUGCCCAAGAGCAUUGAGCUCCACUUCAAUAAAUGGGAGUUGAAGAGGAUAUUUUCCCUGAACAAUGGGUCAACAGGACACACUACUACUCUUGCUAGUAUUAGAGAAUCAUCAUCAAACAAACAGUCAAAGAGGGUGCAGUAAGCAAUGUGAAAAUGUAAAUAUGACACAAACAGUCAAAGAAAGUGAGUAACAGAACAAACUACAUUUAUACAACGGAUUUAGCUUGUCUAGAGUAAAUAAUUUACUAAAGAGGGUGCAGUAAGCAAUAACAGGUGCUGAUGAAAAAAUGGUGAAAAGAGAGGGGAAACCUAUAAUAUCACAAGUAGACCUAGGCAGCACAACUCCAAUGCAAGAAGGAUCAACAUAAUACUUCUGUGCAUUACCACAAGUAGACCUAACCUGCAACAACACCAUGAAUUUCACUCGAAAUCAAUUAGAACUCUCCAUAAUACACAAUUUCAAAAAACAAACAAAAAAGGUAAAAAAUUCAGAAAAAGUGAGUGAAAACAGAAACAUGAUUGAAGAUUAAACUAAUCAAAAAACCUUGAAAGCUACAUAAUGAUCUGACUUGUUAGACAGUAUCAAAGUGCAAGAUGACUCCUUCCUCAAUUCAACUGUUUCACAAAAAAUUAAAGACGAAUAUAUAUAUAUAUUUGAAGAUAAAUUAGUCCACCCAAAUUGACUCGAACCUCAGACCUCGAGCAGGAGCACACUACCAGAUCCCAAGCCAAUACCACCAGGCCAACCCAAGUGGGUUAUAUAUAUAUAAUUAAAAUAAGGCCCAGAAGCAAAAAGGCAAAAAAAAAAAAAAUAUUGAAUUUUGCUUCAAAAAAUUUAAUUUACAUGGAAAGUGAAGAUCUUGAGGAUGCAUCUGAAGAUAGAAACUAUCUUUUUCUUUUCAUUUUAAUUUCUCACAAUCCUGAGGAUGCUUUUGAAGAUUAAAACUAUCAUUAAGGUUGUGAAUUCAAUUUUUUAUAAUCCCCAUAAUUUGGAUAAACAGAAUUGGAAGAACAAGUAGAACGUUGGUGAAAGCAAGAAGAGACCCUUUGUCCCCAUUGUGUGUUUCAGAAAGUGUUGAUAGGGUUUACAAGAAUGAGGCUUUAGAGUUUGAAUGAGAAUAACGAAAAUUAUAGUGAGAUCAAGAGAAACAGCAUGGAAGGAUCCGUGACAAAAAUCCGUUGUAUGAGCACAUAUAACUAUUCUUCCAUUGCAAUAGAAUACAUGGGAAGUGUUAUUUGCAACAACUUGUUUAGGCAACAAGAUCUGUUAUAUAAGAUACUGUUGAUUCGGUCUCAUUAGAUGUUCAAAGAAUUUUUGUGAACGUACCUGGGUGUUUAGCUAGUAGCUUCUUCCAUUUCCCUUUGUUGUUCUUUUAGCAGUUGCGCUUUGUUAGUUUUAUUCUUGGAGGAUUUGCAUCCUCUUUUUGUUUUUAUGUAAGCACUUUUAUUGUUAAGGGUUCUGGCCCUCUCCAGGUCUUUUAUAGUAUUUCUUUGCUUGAUAAAAAAAAAGGGAAAUAAAGUUAAGUGGCCAAUUUAUAUAUGAUUUAUGCUCUUCUCCUGCACUUUUCGCUCGCACCCAGCUGAAAAUACUUUAAUUCCCUUGCGCUAGCUAACUGGCGCAAGUGUAAAAUAAUGCGCAAGUUAAGUUAAGUGGCGUGAGUUAAGAGGCGCAAAGUGGCUACUUUUUUUUAAUUUAUUUACUAUAUUCAAUAUUUAUUUACUUUAUUGUAAAUUAUUUUAUUUACUUUAUUCUAAAUUAUUUGUUCACUUUAUUCUAAAUUAUUUAUUUGCUAUAUUCUCAUUUAUUUAUGAACUUCAAAUAAAUUCGAAAUUAGAAAAUAAAUUUGAUUUUAUUCUAAUUCAAUAUUUAUUCUAAUUUUUUUAUUCAUUAAAUACAAAAUUAGAAAAUAAAUUUGAUUUUAUUUAUUCAAUGUUUAUUUAUUCGAUACAUAAUCAUAAACAUAAAAUAAAUGCAAAUAUAAAUACAAAUAAAAAACAAAAUUAUUAAAUAUAACUCGUUUUAUUAAUAUCAUUCAAACAUUACAAUAAUUAAUACAUAUAUCUUAUUUGAAUUCACUAAUCUACUUAUUAUCUUUUACCCUCUUGGGUAUAUUGCAAUAGCUCUUGGGAAAAAUAGUGACCAGUCCUGUUGGGGAAAAAGACAUCAAGAUCCCAUGAGGUAAAUUUAAAUUUGGUUCCUUUUAUACCCCCAUGAUGAUUCUUUUUACCCACGGUAAAAAGAUUUUGGGAGUAAAAGGAAGCAAACCUAAUUUUACCUCAAGGGAUGAUGUCUUUUUCCCUAACCCGACUGACCACUAUUUUCCCCAACAGCUACUACUAUAUACCUAAAGCGGUAAAAAGAGCCUAGAGACUAUAGAAGCAAAAAAGAAGAAGAGAAAGAGGGGGAGAGAGUGGGAGGAGAUAAUGUGAGGAAAAGAGGAAGUUUGUGAGGGUAUUUAUAGGUAGGAAUGAUAACCUAGUUUGUACCUACCAUAAAUGUGGUAAAAAAAAAGUGUGUGAAAGUGGUUAAAAACGUGUAAAUUGAAAGUUGAAAACCUGGCUAAAGUGAAGAAAAAAAACGUUUGUUCUUCAGUUCUGACUACCGGCCAACUUGCGUGAGUUAACUCGCGGAAGGCUCAGUGGUGCGUGACUUAAGUCACGCAGAGAUUAUAAGGUGUGUGAGUUAAGUCACGUAGUGUGACUUAACUCACGCACGGGCAUUUUAGGCAUGGUUGCAGGGCGCGAGUGUUUUGUGCAGGGGAAGAGCAAAAUUCUUUAUUAUUUAUUGCUUUGUACGCAAACGUUAUUAACCAACGGUGACUUCUUUGUAAGGUCCAACAUAAAAGGAAGAUUGAUAGUAUACAUGUGUGUUUUUCAUUGCUUUUUACUCUUCCUAUCCUAUCUACUUCUCACACACUCUAAUUUUUACAAAAAUGUAUGUGGGGUGUCGGAUUAUAAAAUCCGAACACAUCCAAACCGUGUUAAAUUAUUUUGUGAGUGAUCUCUUAUGUUUUAAAAAUCAACAAAGUGUAAAAUCGAAAGAAAAAGUGGUUGAAAAUUAAGAGAGUUCAUACUCGUAUGAAAAAGUUAAUUGCUAAAUAAUAAAUAGAAUUAACAGAGUUUAAACCGUGUUAAAUUAUAUGGGAAGUGAUUCUCAAUUUGAUAAUGAAAUAAAGGAGAAUAGUGUUUAGUUAAAAAAUAAAGGGUAUGUUUGUGUUAAUUAAGAAGACCUUAAGUGAGGUUAGUCUAAUUUGCCAUGAUUUUUUUUAAGAGUAAUUUCCCAUGAUAAAAGAGUUUCUAAAAGAGUUUUUCAGGAAAAGGCAUAGUAGUUGUAUUGUAGAUAAUGAUUGAUUGUACUUUCAUAACUAUAUUCAUGUAUAAACUAAUACAUCUCAAUGAUACUUAAUGAACAAGAAACAAUGUGUGCAAACACCGAGAGAAAUUAUGAGAUAUUGUCAUCUCAUAUAGAAGAUAACAUUAUCAACUCUGGUGAAAUAAUGUUCUCAUUAUGAAGAUGUUUAUUUCACUCGAAAUUAUUCUCGUUAUUUCAACAAAAUGAUUAGGAUUAAUUUUGAAGAGAAACCAAUUCAUGAAUAUUGAAUUAUUCAUUGAGUUAUUCAUUAAUGAUAUUGAUUGAAGAAUUAUCAAAGAUGAAAAUUCAUGAUCAUAUGCAUGGAGAUUCUAUCAUAAAAUACUUAGGAUGAUCCAAAAAAUUGCCCUAUUCAAAAUAUGAUUUGGAAGAAUAGAAAUCAAACAAAGCAAUUUUGACAUUGAGAAAGGUUUCUCAUAGAACAUUCUCGUCAUACAACAAUCAUUGCAAAGACGAUAAUCUUAAUAAUAAAUUACUUAAUCAGUUUGGUGCACUUUCCAAAUUUAUCAUCAUCUUUCAAAAUUUUGUUUGAACAGAGUAUUGUUUUCGAUUUUAGACAAAAUGGUUGACUUAAAACAGUAAAUACAAUUAAAAAAUAAGAUUUUUUUAGCUUUUUUGUACCUACAUUAUACACUGUAAAGAGAUAAAAUUAUCUUCUAUUUGAUUCAUGCAAAAAGAUUAAAUCAUACACUAAAAUUGGACAAAGUCUUCUAUUUCAAUUUUGAUGAUGUUAAAUUUGUGUUAUUUUCAAUGUACUUUAUCAAUUUUAGCAUAACUAAUAAACUCAUUAUUAUAGGUGUGGUGUGUCUCGAUUGCAUGUCAUCAUGGGAGUGAUACCUCCAAAUUUAUGAGAUAAGGAGAUCCUAUAAAUAAAACUCUUUGACAUCAUAUUUUAUUUCCAUCAUCUUAGAUUACAAAAUCAUAACUUUAAGGUCCUUGAAAUUAGGGGAAAAUAGAAGAAGAAAAUAAUAAUUAUUGAGUGCAUUCACAAAAACUAAAUGACAACAAGUGGAAUAUUCUAGCAUAAGGUAUAGUGUACAAUUCUUUUCCUAGAUAAAGAGAACUCAUUAUGAUGUUUUAGAUCGAUAUGCAUGCGCCUUUACGACACCUAACAUUAACUCAUCAAAGUUUUGAACAAUCUUUAUCAGUUUUACAAGCAAAAAUAGAUAUUGAUGUACAAAGAAAUAUAGAAAAAAUUAAAAUUAUAAAAUAAACUAACUUCGGAAUUUCAACCAUAUUUUUUCCUAUUUGCAUCCAAAUAAUAGUAAAUGACUCGAUCUCUUUAUAGUGUAUAUAAAGUUCAUGGUCUUAGAGAAAUAAUUAAAUAGUUUAAGAAUUAUAAAAUUUGAAAAGCCCUUUCAGAUUUUUAAAAUUAUUACUAAAUGUCUCUCAAAUAUAUCAUUGUGUUAUUUAUGUCCCUUUAGCACACCUAGGAAGGAGUUCAUGUAAUAAAAAUAAUAAUCAAUAUAACUGAAUACAAUUUUACACACUUUAGAAUACUUUUUCCUGUAAAUAAUUGUAUUAUUUUUUUAACAUUUUGUGAGAGUAAAGAGAAAAACAAUUAUAUCAUCAUAAAGUAUUGUACGGAUAUAAAGCACCAUGAGAUAUUUAUGAACAAGUAGAACGUAUGUUAUGAUCAUAAAAGUUAUGCUUAUAUAGUCACCUCUUAAUUGGGCUAGGUUUACAAUUAUCAUAAUGGGCUCAACAUCAUUACUAACCAAUUCUCAAAAGUUACUACUCACCUAAACCAUUAAAUUAUCGAAUAAUUAUUAUCUCUAAAUAAUUACUCCAACUCACUAGUAACUUAGAAAAAAAAAUUCUUGAAGAUUCAAGGAAUAAGAGGUUAAUAGUUGAAAGCUACACAAGAUUAGUCCUAAAGUCACAUGACAACUCCUAAAGCCACAUGAUUUAAGGUUAAUUGACCAAUAAGAUAUUGUCGUCUCAUAUAGAAGAGAAAAUUAUCAACUCUGAUUGAAGAAUAUUCUCAUGAUGAAUAUGUUUAUUACACUCGAAAUUUAUGGGAUAAGGAGAUCCUAUAAAUAAAACUCUUUGCUGCCUUAUUUCAUUUCCAUCAUCUUAGAAUACAAAUUCAUAAUUUGAAACUAGGGAAAAACAUAAGAAGAAAAUAAUAAUUAUUGAGUGCAUGAACAAAAACUAAAUGACAACAAGUGGAAUAUUCUAGCAUAGGGUAUAUUGUACAAUUCUCUUGCUAGAGAAAGAACUCAUUUAUCUCAUUAGGUUGUUUUAGAGCUUUACACAUUGGCCUUUACGACACCUAAUAUUAGCUCUCCGAAAUUGUGGACAAUCUUUAUCUGUUUUACAAUCACUAAACAUAAUCUGACUAAAAGGAGAUUUAUUGAAAAGAAAUAUAGAAAGAAAUAAAAGUAUAACAUAAACAAACUUCAGAGUUUCAACCAUAUUUUUUCCUAUUUGCAUCCAAAUAAUAGUAAAUGACUUGAUCUCUUUAUAGUGUAUAGUAAAGUUCAUGGUCUUAUAGAAAUAUAUCAUUGUGUUAUACUAAAUGUCUCUUAAAUAUAUCAUUGUGUUAUUUUUGUCCCUUUAGCACACUUAGGAAGGAGUUCAUGUAAUAAAAAUAAUAAUCAAUAUAACUGAAUACAAUUUUACAAACUUUAUAUUACUUUUUCCUGUAAAUAAUUGUAUUAUUUUUUUAACCUUUCGUGAGGGUAAAGGGGAAAACAAGUAUACCAUCGUAAAAUUAUGUACGAAUAUCAGGCACAAUUUAAUAUUUAUGAACAAGUAGAACAUAUAAUGAAGUUAACUACACCUCACAUAAUAAGACCAAGCAUAUAUUAAAAAAGCAACCUAUUGAAGGAACAUUGCCUCAACACAUCAACAAAAACAUGUUAUAAAAAGUUUUUCCUAUACUAUUAUGAAUGGCCAAAUGAAUUAUACAGAAGUUUUUUAGCAAUCACAAACAUAUUCCACCUUGUUGUAAGCAAAUUGAUAACCGGUAAAUAAAUUGGUUAUCAGAUUGCACUUAACUCUUAUAUUGGACAAGUAACUGAGUGAUUGCAUUGUCUUUAACAUCUAAUCUAUGCUUAGUUUAGGAUUUUAAAGUUUUAAGUGUUUUUAGUACUUUGAAACUAGUAAUGCUUGUUUGGUGAUGUAGGUGAAGGAAUGACUCUGAAGAAGAAUAAAGCUGCAGUGUGGAUUGAAGAUGUAUCGUUGAAGAUAUGAAAAGUUACAGCAUGUAACACCCUAAACCCCUAAAGCAAUAAAUUACGCAAAUAAUACAAAACAUACAAAGGAUUUAGAUGCUACUUCUUCUAUAAGUUCCUAAACAUGCAUAAUUAAUUUUUCAAAACAUCGCAGCAGAAUAUUUAAUAUCAUCACAUCUCAUCAACAUCUAAAUAAAACCUCCAAAGUUGAAAUGACGCAUAAUUAUAAUACAUCUCUAGAAUAAAUCUAACAUCUUGUUAUCGAGAUUUUCGGGUGUCAAGUCAUUAAUUAGGCUUGAACCUUUCAAUCUUUGAUAUUCUCUAUUUUUUCUUGGGAAGGGCAAAAUUGAGAAAAAAACCCUUAGAUUCGAAGUUCGGGGGUCGUUUUCACUACGGGAAGGUGUUAGGCACCCGCGGUGACUAUAGUACUCUAUAGGAGCCGUUUUCUUAGUUUAUGUCUACGCUUUAUUUUUAAUGCUACUUAUGAAAAAGGAAAUUUACUUAUGUUAAGAAUGGGAGGGAGAAAGUGUUUGAGGUUUUAUUUUAGUGGACUUGGAGAGGUUUUGACCUCAUGCCUACAUACCCAUUUAAGGGAUCAAACUCCAUGUAGUUCUCUCUCAAAAAAUGCUUUUUGUGUGUUUGGUUGAUUUUAAUUUUUGUUGAAAAAUGGUUUUGAAGAAAAGAAAGAGGCCUUAAAGGCAUAAGAGAAGAAAAUGGUGAAUGGUUAGUUCAAUUGUUAUUAAAAAAAGUCUAAGUAGAAAUUAGGAUUCAUUUGGAUUUGUUUAAGAAAAUAAAAGAAGAAAUUCAAUGGAGUUUUGACUCCAAGAUUUGUUUGGAAAAAUUUGAGUGAUGGAAUUGGUUUAUUAUUUUUUUGGAAAUUGACAUUUGUCUAAAAAUCGCGUUUCCUAAGCAUACAUCUAAACGGUAAUCAUGCAACGUGUGUGCGUGUCGGUGCUUGUGUCGGUGUACAUCACUUAUAGUGUCCAUAGUCCUUUACAUUGAGUCCUAAAUACAUGCUAUGGUCUUGCAAGGAAUUAAAAAGGAACUAAUCUAUCUAAAAUUAUUACAAACCCAAUUGAUGUAGAAAUGAAUAAAAAGAUGCUAGAACUAUGUGAUGAAUAAAAUGUGAGAUGAAAUGGUUAGUAUCAUAAGGCAUAAAAAUAAUAGAAAGGUAAGCAAAAUUGAAUAGAAUAGCAAGAGAGGAAAAAAGUAAUGAAAUGAAAUAAAGUGGCAAAAUAUACCUAAAAUUGGUUAUGACACUUAGUCAUGUGUAUGACCCAUAAUUCCCUCAUCAUAGCAAUGUUAAAGAGGUUUGAUUUUGAGCUAUAAUGUGAGGAUGAUAAGGACACAUACAAGCCAAGAAUUAUGACAUAUUUCUAGAAAUACUUUUCACUUUAUUUCUUAACAAAAACACACAUUAUUUGCAAAAAAAGAAAAAAGUGAAAAUUCACAUCACCCAAACAGUAAAUCACACAUAGGAUCAGAGACAUAUUCAUUAUGAAGUUGCAUAUUAAACACUCAUACCUUGCACCAAGGCCAUGAACACAAUGUGACGAAAAAAUUCACAAGAAAUUCCAUUAAAAGUAAAAAAACAUCAAGAACUAUCACAUACAUUUUUUUAUUAGUUUUUCAAUGUAUAAAAUCAUCACAAGAAAUACCAAAAAUAAAUUAAAAAACAAUAGGAAUUUUUAUAGAAUUUUUGAAAGAAAAAAUUGAGCAAGCAGGGGUUCAAAUAGCAACACAGCAAGGUGCAAGUAGCAAAAAAAUAAAAGAACGCAGAAACAAACAAACUGCAAGCCCAAGCCCAUAACCCACGGAUCUGGAUGCACAGGGAGCGUUGGAUUGAUCCAGAAAGGGAAACCCUAGAUCCAACGGCCAGGAAUGAAGGGGAUUGGACCGGUCUUGGACCGGUCCGGUUCACUGGCUUAUAUAAAGGUGUUGAGGCCGGUUUUUUUCAUUUUUACCAAUCCUUUCUCUCUCUUCUCUCGUCUUCUCUCUCUAAGCUCUCAACUUCCUCCGCCGGUUUCUGGAAGGAGACGGCCGGAGAAGAUGAAGAUGCGUCAGAAUCUUCAUCAACUCCGCCGUGAGAUCCAGAUUCCGGCGAGCUUCAACCUGACCAGAAAUCCACUAAACCUACUUCAUUCUACUCGUUCUCUUAUUCUAAGCAUGAAUCUGGCAUUGGUUUUCGCAUGCAAGGCUUGAAUCUUUGUAGAUCUACACUUCUUAUUUACGGUUUUGAAAAAACAUUUUAGGUUUUCAAUCUUUUUUGAAAGAAACUUUUGAAAACCCUAGGGAUCUACAUCGAUUCGUUCUUGUUGAUGCUUUUCGAGAAAGAAAAACGAGAUUUAGGUUUUACCUGAGUUUUUUGAUUCGGAGGUUCUUGAUGAAGAUUUUUCUGGAAAUUUAAUCUGGCUUUUGUUGUUGAUUUGGCUUGAGAACCGAAAAUAAAUCGGUUAUUUCACUGAUUUUCUUUCUUCAUCUUCUUCGCUGGUUCGAAUCUGCUUCUUUUCCUCUUCUUCUUUUUCUCACUGAUUCCUUCGUGAUCGGUGCUGGAGUUUGCCAAUGGCGAAUUCGCACUUUGAAUUGCGAAGGAAACCGAUUCGAUGAUGAAGAUUCAGUGAUGAAUCUCUGAGAAUCGCGAAAGAUCUUGUUGAUUCUCUGUUGAUUUGUACUGAUUUGUGGUGUUUUGUGUUGAUUAGUGUUGAUUCUGGUGGAAUUUGGAAACGGUUAGGGUUUGAGUGUUCUUGGUGUUCUUCGUGAUUUCUGGAAAUUGUUGAGUUUGGAUCUUUGAAAGCAGAAAGAGAAAGUUGGAAAGUGUUUGUGAUGUGGCGUGUGAUGAAUGGAUUCUGAUCCUGACUUGUACAGUAAAUGCGCCUUUUAUAGGCUGCCAAGUGUGCUUGAGACCCAAUGGGAGAGGGACACCUGUUUUUGGACUUAAGGACCUUGCUGCAAAAAAGGAAAAAUAAAAGGACUAAUCUGCAAUUAUGAAAAAGGACUUAAAAAUGCAAUUUUAAAAAGUAUUGGACUAAAAAUGCAAUUUUAAAAAGUAUUGGACUAAAAUGCAAUUUUAGAAACUGUUUCAGGGACUAAAAUGCAAUAAAAAUAAAAUUGGACUAAAAUUGGUAAAUUGGACAAAACGUAAAGUGAAACCAAAAAAUAAAAUCAACAAAAGGACUAAAACGAACCAAUUACUGACAUGAGGUAUUUUAAAAUACCUCCCUGCCGAAAUUUUGACAGGAAAAGACCAAAAUGCCCCUAGGGACUAAACUGACUCAGAUGCAAUUUUUGAAAUGACUUUUAAACAGAGACUCCACAAUGAUUUGUACAGACAAAUUGAAAAGACUCAGAGGCAAACACAGGGACUAAAAUGGGUUCCACUGCAGGAAAUGACCAAAAUACCCUUUUGUGUGAUUUUUUGAAAUAAAAUGCAAGAAAAGUAAUGCGACGUUUCAGAGAGUUCCUAAAUGACUUGUAAUGCAAGAAAAGACAGACAGAGGCAGUAAAAUAUGUUUUAAAAAGAGAGUAAAGAUUCAGAGUAAAAUAACAGCGAACUGACACACAUCAGUGUUAAAAAGAAAUUUGAACGAGUAUUUUUAGGUCCAAAAUCAGGGUAUAACACAUCUCAACAUACUAAGUGAAUAAAAUCUCGACAAGUCAUAUAAUAUAAAUAAAAGACAGACACCUUAAUUAGAGCUGACACACUAAGACUCUGAAAGCAAAAGACGAGGUAGCUUCAAAGCUAGCCUCCAGCAACUCACCAAGUAAAACAAAACUUCUCCUGCACACCAUCUAUCCAUAAAUACGCAAAGGUAGGUAGUCAAACAAACGACCACUGGAGGUUUGUUCACAUUUCACAAUUAAAGUAUAAUCAAAUUAAAAUGAACGAUAUAAUUAAAUUCAAAUGAUUAAACAAUACUUAAGAAGCUCAACAUCAUUAAUAAUCAUCAAUCAUACAAGUAUGAUUAUACACAAGUACAUUUUCAACAUCAUCACAUAUUCAUCAAAUUUUACCAAGCACGUAAUUCAUCAAAUUUUACCAAGCACGUAAUUCAUCAAGUUCACCGAUCCACAUAAAUCACCAAGGUUCACCAAGCACAUAAACAAAUACGACACAUUUAAUCAAUUAUCAAAUGUAUGUAAUGCGCAUAAACACGACUUUAUAUGCAUGUCCUACCGGUUGUCGUCAUUUGAAUACAAAGUAUUCUUUUCGUCUUCGUCGGAUAUAAUGUCCUAGUCAUCUUCAUUGGAUAUAAAUAUCCUACUUAUGAAUGCAUGAACAUACGAAUCAACAAUGCACACGCUCAACAAAAAAUCGUCAUCAUUUUCUUCAUUUUUCAUAAAUGCAUUCAUCAUCAAUAACGUUGUCAUUAUGCAUGCAAUGAUUCAUCAACAUAAAUCAUCAUCAUCAUCAUAAUCAUUAUCAACAACAAUCAACUAAAGAAUCAACAAAGUUCCAAACUAAUGAAUAAACAAUUCUAGUCGUCUUCAUUGGAUAUAAAUAUCUUACUUAUGAAUGCAUGAAUAUACGACUCAACAAUGCAUACGCUCAAGAAAAAAUCGUGAUCAUUUUCGUCUUGAUUUUUCAUACAUGCAUUCAUCAUCAAUAACGUUGUCAUUAUGCAUGUAAUGAUUCAUCAACAUAAAUCAUCAUCAUCAUCAAAAUCAUCAUCAACAACAAUCAACUAAAGAAUCAACAAAGUUACAAACUCACAUUUUGCACAAAAGACGGACAAUUAUCCACAUCAAGACAUUCAUCAAAUUAAACACGGACUCAUCCUUGAUUCAUUCUUAUUAUAAAAUAUCAUCAUGAAUAUAAAGUCAAUUGCAAGUUAUCCGGUCAUAAAACCUCAUUUCAACAAAGUUCGUCUAUUUUUAUAAAAUCGCCCAUUUUCAAUUUCACCAAGCAAAUUUGGGUUCCAAGUUCUUACAUACCAUUAAGACAUCUCUACAUAUCAUCUAACAUCUUAGUUAAUCAAUCAUAACAAGUUCACUUCACAAAUUUCAACUAGUUCUCCAAAAUUGCAAAGUUCAUCUCCUUUUUCUUCAUGUUUCAAACUCAAUUCAUUUCCAAGUAAAAUCAAGUUAAAACACUUCUAAAGAACAAAAAUUCAUGAUUACAUACUCAUUUAUUCACUAUAAAUACUUCCUUAAAUUCAAUAUUAAUUUUGAAGAUGUUUCAUGGUUUAGUGAAAAUGUUAUGAUAAAGUUUCAUGAGAAAGGGACACAUGACCUAUGUGAAGUAAUUUGACCAUAAAUCAAGGUAUAGAAAACAUUUUGAAGUGAGAUUAAACCCAUUAGAAAUAUAACAUACAUAUAUAAAACUUUCAUGUUUACAACUACGGCUGAAUCGAUUCAGAUCUUAUUGAAUUGAUUCAAAACAAAUUAGAGAGAAACCAUGAUACGAUUCAAAAUUGUCUGAAUCGAUACAAAGCUGCCCAAAUACAGAAUGAUGCAACUCAAACUUUCUUGAAUAAAAUUCAAUGGCCUGGAAAACACAAUUUUAGCUUUGGUUUCAUCCCCAAAUCAUCCCAAAAAUCGCUAUUUUGAUUUCCAACAUACCCAAAAUGAUAAAAAUCAUUUUCCAAGGUUCAAAUACACCAUUUAGACUCUUUUCACGACAAUACAAAACAACUUAUACUUCAAUUUACCUAAUUCAUCAAGGUUACAACAACAACAACUUACACACAACAACACAUAUAUCACACUCAAUACAUGAAUCAUCAUCACCAACAUAUACCCAUCAACAAUCAUAGCAUAUAAUUCAUGAACUCGUCAAUUUUCAACAACAACAUCUUCAUUUUCAUAAAUUUAAGUUAAAACUUCAAAGCUAUCAUUUCAACAUAGUUAUACAAUGAAAUUUAAGUACCCACAACGAGAUUUCAAAAAAUUUCACAUACUCAAAUUUAUCGCAUAAUCGUGAGCACGAAAUUCAACAUUCAAAAUCACAAAAAGUCAUAAUUCACCAUAAGCACCUGUUCUCAUAAUUGAAAAGAUGAAGGUUGAAACUUAACUAUGAAAAGGAUAUAUCCCCCUUACAUCUAGGUCUUGAAUUCACUAGCUUAGGCUUCAAUUUAGCUCCUAGCUCUUCAAACCUCAAGCUCUCCCUCUAGCUUCCUCUUCUUUCCUCUUGCGAUCUACUUUCUCUCUCUACCUCUUAUGUUUUUGUGGAAUAAAAUAAUGAAUGGCUUAACCUAAUUUUUUCAUAAGAGUUAUGCUUAUAUAGUCACCUCUUAAUUUGGCUAGGUUUCUAAUUGUCAUAAUGGGCUCAACAUCCUUACUAACUAAUUCGCAAAAGUUAAUACUCACUUAAACCGUUAAAACACCGAAUAAUUACUAUCUCUAAAUGAUUACCCCAACUUACUAGUAACUUAGUAAAAAUAUUUAUUCUCACUAAAACUCCAAAAGUAACCUUCUUAAUAAAAAUGACUAAUUUAUCCUUACUCGCCAAAUGACCAAAAUACCCCUUAGUUUAAAAUUGACUAAAAUACUCCGCUAGGCCAAAAAUCAACUAAUCCUACUUUAAAUAGACACAGAGACAAUUAAUCAUACAUAAACAUAUAUAAACAAACAUAAUAAAUCAUUUAAUUAAUUCUAGCUAAAAACAGGUUGUUACACAACAUCCUGGGACUCUAGUCGGGUUGUACAUAGUACACAUACGUGGGGCCAGUCUGUCCAUUUCUUAACAAGGAAGCAUAUGAGAUGUCCCUAAUAAUUGGAUUCCUAAGAAGAAUAAAAGAAUAUGCUAUUUGGUAGCUAGGAUUGGAUAAGGACGGAUGGAUAAGAACAGCCCAUGUAAAAUGACUAAAAGGUACAACUUGUAGUGGGUUGCCUUGUACUAUAAGAGGGUACCCGUGUGUUUGUAUCAAGGGUCUAAAAAUUCACCUUAGAAUUGGAAAGGUCAGGUUACGACUAGGGUUAGCAGCUUUAGAGAUCCCAUUCCAUCUCAUCUUCUACCAUAAAUGAGCAUGGUAUAUAGAUUCUAGAGUUCUUAUACUAGAUUACUUGGUGAUGCUUUUCCUCACCUUAUUCCUUCAAGGAUUGUAAUCUUGCGAUAACUCUACCUAUUCUAUUAAUUUAGUUUCUAUGUUUUCAUUUGCUUCCAUCUUCAUUUCCAUUUCUAUGGUUCAAGUCACCAUGAGCUAAACACCUUUAAAUGGUUUAGACAUGGUGAGGUUCUGAUUUAUUAAUUACUUGUGAUAUAUCAAACUGUAACAUUGUACUUUGCUCUGAUAAACUAUUUUUAUUGUAAAACCAAUAGAAGUGAUUCCUGAUAAGUUUUCCUUCUAAUGAUAUAGCUCGUUACCCUGAUGAAGUAAGGAGUGGAACCUGUUUAUUUGAUACGAGUUAGCCCUUACCAACAGAGUGAAAGAGGACAAGGGACCUGAUUGUAAAACUAACGUUAUAGGAGGCUAGAGCUUGGUGAAUCUUAGUUAGCUUAAGAGGUUAAUAAACAUCCAUAACACUGAAUGACCAUAGCCAUACAACACUCUAGCUGAGUAUUACAUUUUCUUAAGGCUAAAAUAUGCAUUUCAUCCCUGCAAAUAUAGGCCAUUUGAAAUUUCAUCCUUGAACUUACUAAUCCUCUUAUUAUUUCCCUGCAAUUGUUAAUCACUUGAAAUUUGGUCCUAAUCACAUUUUUUUUGCUGGGGUGGAGGGUAAUUGGCGACGUGUCAGCUGUUGACUGUGCCAGAACACUGAUGACUCAAACAAAAUGGCAUGAAUAGACAAAAUUGCCCUUAAUGAAUCAAACCAACAUGGAAAAGAUGUUAUUGCCCUUCUUCCUCCUCUUAAAUCAUCUUCUUCUCCCUCGGCUUAAAUCUUCUUUCCUCUGUUCCAGCCAUUCCAACUUUGUAUAUGUAUAUGUGUUAUUAUAUGAAGAAAGGUCAACCACGAAGUCAACAUUCAGAUUGGAAGAGAACUUCAAUCAGACUGUGAAGGAUCAAAGACUUUGAAGGAAGUCAUUAUAUGUAGAAUUUGUGUUUUAAUUUAAUUUUUUCAUGAACUAUUUUCAGACUACGCAUAUAUUACAUGAGCUAUUUCAAUAAUUAACCCUAUUUAUUUUAUUUUUUGACGAAAAAUAAGCGAUAUUCAUUUAUUAAAUUCGAUAGAAUUUUUAGGUACAAUACAAAUUUAAAGUUGUUAAAAACAAAAAUGAUGAAUCCUCAAACCAACUCACAAUAUCAUGUUAAUAGCAUAAAACAACAUAGUACAUAUGCCUACAAAUAUGAUUAUGUUCAAAUCUUUGUAAUAAUCAUUUACUAAAUCUGCAACGAGCUUGAAGUCAUUGAUCUGAUUUUCACUUUAUUACAACUUUAAUCAAAUAAACACGACACCAAGAUGAAAAAUAAAAACACAUCAUACAAAGACGAGAAAUCAAAGAUAUCAACAAUCAAAGUUGAUCUUGACAUAUGAAAAAUGGUUGAUUAAAACAUGUAUUUUGAAACAGAUGGAAUAUUUAAUAAAAGAUAUUUAAACAAUUUUAUUAAUUUAUUAAGGUUUGGAUACAUACAGGCACAUGUAACUUUAAAUAUUUACUAAUUUAUUAAUUUAUUAAAUGCAUAAUAUAUUUAAGAUGUGGGAUCAAACCCCAGCCACCACGAAAAAAAAAUAUUACUAACUAACAGAUAGUUUAUUUGGGUAUCCCUAUACCGAAUUUUAUAAUCGAACACCUCAAACAGAAACAACUAAAAUCUAAACCAUGUCAUAUUAUCAGGAUCUAGGAUUUAAUAUGGUGACUUUAGGAAUUGAGUUAUGGGUCUUGAUAACAUUUUCAUUUUCCUUUAGUUAUUCAUGAUAUAUGAAACGUGGCCACCUAGUAAUCUAAUAUCACUUACCUCACAAAUCAUAUUUUAUUUAUGGAAAAUGAUUAGAAAAAUUCCAUUCACUCUUAUAUUCUUUUCUGAAACAAGUCCCCGUUCACAUUGCUUCAUUAAAAUAUUUAUGGUCAACGAUUCAAAAUUGAGAGUUCCACUAUAGCUUAUCUCUUUUAUUGAGAUAAUAAAACAAAUCGAAAUAGAAAAAAGUCUAACACUUUAUGAAAAAAAUGGGAGAAACCAUUUCUGCUGCAGCCUCAUCCUCAGCAUCUAAAUUGAAGAAUCAAGAAGAUAGUUUUUACCUUCAUAUACAUCCUCAAGAGCUACACUUUCCACGUAAUUAAGCCUCUUUAAUUCCCAAAAACCAACAAAAUUAAAUAAGAAGUUUCUUAUUUCUAAUCCUAUUUUAUUAUGUGUCUUGUUUCUGGUUCUAAAUUCUAAUAGUAUAAUUUUUUUUUUUAACACUUUCUUGUUUUCUGCGAACCAGUUGAAUUGAAGAAAAAUAUCUCAUGCUGUUUGCAGUUGUCCAACAAGUCAGAUAAUUAUUUGGCUUUCAAGGUAAUGAUUUUCUUUUUCGUUUGUUAGAAAAUGAUAAGUUGUGCAUUUUUUAUAACUUGUGCCCUUAAGAAAUCAGUUAAAAAAAUUAAAUAUAGAAGUAUUUUUCGAAAAUUGUGUAUCUUAGAAAUUAAAAAAAAAAAAAAUUCCAUUAGUAAUCUUGUCCUUUAAUUCUUUUUUUAUGCUGCAUUAGAGGAUCCAUGUUUGCUUAAUAAAUUGAGUGUUAUUUAGGAAAAGUUAUGAUUAUGAGUUGGAUUGAAAUUGAUGGUGUUGCAACUUGCAGGUUAAGACUACAAUUCCUGAGAAAUAUUGUGUUAGGCCUAAUAUUGGAGUUCUGUUGCCUAUGUCUACUUGUGAUAUUAUAGGUUUUCUUCUCUCCAUCUCUCUCUACCUUCUUCACUCUCCCUUUUGCUAUCAAAAGUACAAUGACAUGCAAAGAAUAAUAAAUUCGGUCGAAUUAGACUUUACAAGACUCAAGUAUGUCCUAAUCUAAAAGUUCAAGGUCGACUACUAGAAAAUUCGUUUUUAGCGACGGAAAUUUGUGAGGGUUUAAUUCCGUCGCAAAUUUUGACGGAUUUUGUGAAGGGUACUCUUUUGAUGUCAUUAGCGACGGGUUUUACGAGGGUCUGUGUCAUUAGCAUGUCAUAGGUUUAUUUUUAGUCUCAAGUCUAGUAUUUUUGAAUGUCUUGUAGGACUAUCUAUCUUACUUAUAGACAUUUUUAAUAUGAAUAUAUAUUUAAAUAAGUAAUUUCAUUAUUAGAAACCCAAUUUUCCUGCGGAAUUACCAGCGGAUUUUAGAAUAUUCCGCAGAACACCUGUUUCCUGCAGAUUUAGACUGGGAUUUUGGUUCACUUCUAAUAUCUUCAUAGAUAAUUGUUUCUUUUGAUUUUAGGAUCAGAAGAAAAGAAGAAUCCCCAGGAAAAGUGAAAAUUAUAGGAUCAUAUUCAAUAUUAUCAAUAAAGAAAUUCAAAAUCUUACAAAUUUCCUGUAAAAAAAAAAAUUACAAAUUUCAUCAUAUUAAAAUAAACCGCAUGAAAAUUCGCAGGAAAAACUUGAGUUUCUAUUAUUGUUUUAGCUAUUUUUGUAGGCCUAUUUAUCCUACUUAGUAUAAAUAGUAGGGUUCAUUUUUGGGUCGUACCGCAGACAUCCCCUUUUCUAACAAAGUACCAUCCUUGUUUACAGUGUCAUGGAUAUGUUGGCAUAAUGUUUACAUGGGAUUUAGUUGCACAAUGUCAUGUGUUCUGUUCUUUUAUACUCACUUUUAUAACUAAGUAGCAUCAUUUUUUACUUAAUGACUCUUUAUAGUUACAAUGCAAGCCCUAGAGGAGGCACCUCCUGACAUGCAAUGCAAAGAUAAGUUUCUCCUUCAAAGCAUAGUUGCAAGGCCUGGAGCUACCACUAAAGAUAUCACUUCAGAUAUGGUAACAAACAACAAAUUGUUUCUUGAUAGUUUUUUCCACCAACAUUUCAUAUUUUAAUUGUUUUCUUUUUUCAUUGCAUGAAGUUUUAUAAAGAUUCCGGAUAUGAAGUUAAAGAGUCCAAAUUUAGAGCUGUUUGUGUUGCUCCUCCUUCUAACCCUCCAUCACCAGUUCAAGUAUCUGGAUCUUUAGAUCAGGUUUCUUUUUAUUUCAUUUUUUAAAAGCAGUUCACAUAUAAUUUCUAUGCAGCAUAAUAUACAAUUUAAAUUGGUAAUUCUCGUUGAUUUGUGUUGGUGAAUAAAAGUGACUCACAAAGUAUAAGAAGAGGAAAACAAUUUUUUAUUGAAUAUCAGUAUUUUUAUUAUUGUUUUUAUGUGUUAACCUUACGGUUCUCAGAGGAAAGGAACACUGUUCAUCAUGAGUUCGUUCGUAAGGUAAGUAUAGCCUAACUACGAAUCCUUUGGUGGAACUCAUUAAUCAUUUGCGCUCAAUUACUUGAUCAAUAGUUGUAGGCUUUUAAAUACAAACUCCUAAACUUUAACUGCUGCUUUAUUAGAUAAUAAGUAACUGGAAAAUUAAAACAAACUCCCGUAAAGACUUAGUCAACUAUAAAUGACACGUUCAACACUCCUUGUAAGGAGUUGAUGUUCGAUGCCUAUCUACUCGUAGAAUACAGUGAAUUGUUAUGAAGUCUACUUUGUGCCACUAUCAGACAUUAAAACUUGAAUCACACAGUCUUUUUGCUUUUCAAUCCAACGCUUAAAUCUCCAAAAUACUCCCGCAACCUCUAACCAUGAGUUAUCAAAUAAUUCCAACACAUUUUGGUGUAAUAUUUGCUCUCUUGAAGUGUACUGACAUACCUUGUAGAUUGGUGAUUCAUCAUCUAAGUCAGCUAGUCAUGAACCAAAUCAUUUCUUUGUAAAUUCAGUACAAUUGCACGAUGAAAAUGGCGUAAUCUUUUGGGCCAUAUCUCCGUAUUAUUAAUAGUAACUUGAUAAGUUGCUUUCCUUUCCUUCUUUGGACUAAACGAGAAACUAUUGCAACUAUACAAUUGCUGAUACACACGUUCAAAUGGCAAUCAUAAUUGCACAUUACAAACCUCAACCAGUACAAGCCUUCGAUAAUAUAUACUUUUGAUCUUAACCUAAGUAAUUAUCAUAAUGAUUUAUUUUUAGUUUUAGGAGGCCACAAUCAAAUUCCAAAUGUAUUUUAAAAUUGAAAUGCAUAAUUUUCCAAGUUUUCUUAAUUUAUAUAUUGAUUUAUAUUACUAUAUUGGCCUUUGAUAAUGAUCUUGUUGUAAUACAUUAAUUUUCUUUUCAAUUUAAGCAUGUUCUUUAGGAGUGUCCCCCAUAUAAGCUGAUUGCAGUUGAUAGAUGCAUGUCAUUAAUUUACAUUCUUAAUUGUGAUAUUGAAAAAUAACUUGUUCAUAAACCCCAUCUCCCUAUUGACCUUACGUUCAUGUAUCGAUUAUUAUUGAAAAGAUUUGAAUUCUGAAAUAUUGUUGCUCAUUUUUUAUUUCUUGUCAUUUUAGGCAAAGGAUCAAAUUUCGGAGUUAACCGAAGAGAGAGAUUAUCUUAAGAAGGAAAAUAAAAGGCUUCAGGAAGCACUGGUACGCCAUUCACAACAUGAUCAUAGCUUGGUAAUCUUGAAUAUUUUGUCGGGUGAUCUUGAUUGCUAUCCUAUGAUCUUGAAUAUUGGUCGUGUCUUAACUUAUUCAACUAUUUACGUAAACUUGAUAUUUUUUUUUGUUGUCAAGUAGCCUAGCCUAAUGGCUAGAAAUUCACAUCUAAGGUGAAAAAAUGGGGUCAUGAUAUUCGAAUCCCAACUUCUGAAUAAAUUAUGCAUUGUCCUUAUCAACUGAGCUAAACUCAGAGAGACCAAUUUAAUACCUUUAUCUUUAUUUUAAAAUUUUGGAAAGAUAAGAUUAUCUUAGUCAUCUGCGAGAAUACCAAAAAAGAUUUUUUCUGAUUCCAAGAAAGAAAAAAUUCACAUUGAAACCUAUUGGUUUCCAAAUUUUAAAAUGACUAUGCUUUCAGAUCACAAGAAUUUCCUUCAAUUUCCUUCUUGAAGUUACUGAGGAAGAAUUUCCUUCUUGGUCCGCUCUUACCAAUUGUUGAACCGCGAAUGCUUUUAUCGUUCCUCUUCUUAGCCAAUAACUGUCAUUUAUAUGGUGUGGCUUUAAAGUACACCCAAUCUCCAAUUUCUGUGUGAACAUGCUUCAUAUUCUUAUUUGCAUGCUUCUUCAUUCUUUGCUGAGUUAUUUCUAAACUCUUUUGUAACUGAUACAGAACAUUAUCCCUAUCUUCCACCAUACACGGCUUCUACUUAUGAAGGAAAUGUAGCACACUUUAUUACUGGAGGAGAGUCCCUUCCAUUUAGUUCUUGGAAAUCUUGUAUCCUAAUUAACACAUUAAAAUUAUUAGGCUUAAUUGCAGUCCCCCAUACUUCGAAACGUGGCCACUUUACCCCCUUUUGUAAUAGAUCAGUUUUGACUCGGUCAAUGCAUGUGUCAUCUAACUUAAUUGAGUCAGACGCUACAUGUGCAUAUUUAUUUUGCUCUUCUUCUCUUCUUCCCUUAAAUCAAAGUCUUCUCUUCAAACCUAUCCCUCACAAAUCCAACAUCCAUGAGAAGUUCUUUAUCAAAAUAAGAACUCGGGGUCGAGUUCUUUAGACGUAGAGGAGAUUGAUGCAUGAGGGAAUCCAUAGUAUUUUCUAUAGUAUUUUUAUUUUAGCCAAAUUUUAGUAAUUUUCUAUUUUUAUUUCAGUUUGUUAUUUUUGGCCCAUUAGAGUUUUGUUAUUUGUCUAUUUAAACUUAACAGGUGUAGCUUAAGAAACAAACUAUUAUUCAUUCAAUUAUAUUUUAGAUAGUUUUCUCAAUUUCUGGUGGAUUCUGAAACCCUAUUUUCGCAAGUUUGUCGUUUGCAAACUUGUUUCUCUUAAAUCUUAGAGUUAGCAAAAUUUAUUUUACGUAGGAUUUUAUAUCUUUUGUUACUUUAAAAGAAACAUAUUUUAUCUGCCAAGAGUAGAGAUGAGAGUGAUGCAAAUCGAGAUGGGAUCAUUGGAGUAAUUUAGAUUACUGUAAUGGCCUUUGAUAUGAUGUUCUUGUAAUAUAUUGACUUUCUUUUCAGUUUAAGCAUGUUUUUAGUUUCUGCCUGCUCCCAUACGGCCAGCAAUGGUCCUGUUACCGUGGUCUCUUAGUAGCUUGUAGGUGUGUCCUUAUUUUGGAGUGUUUUUUGGGUUUUAAGGUUUGUCCGCAUAUAUACGGAUCCUUUGCAUGUUUUCUUUGUCUCUUGGCAGCCGGGUGCAUGUUACGUAGGCUUGCUUUUAAUUUGGUUAAUUCAAAAACCAAAAAAACAUUUUUGGGAAUGUCCCCCCAUAUAGUCCGACUAAAGUGGAGCUUUCAUAUUUAAAAAUAUGAUGUUCAUAGACGCCAUGAUUGGUUUUGUCAUCUAAAAAAUCUAGCGGCGCAACUUGUUGUCUGCUUAUCUACUAUUAGUAUAUAAUAAUAAUUAAUCCUUGAUAUAUAAUUUUUUAAUAGGGCAUUGCUAUGGAUGAGAUGUGAAUUCUGAAAUAUUGUUGCUUAUUUUGAAUUUCUUUUUAUUUUAGGCAAAAGUACAAAGUUCAAAUUUAACUGAGAGAGACGAUGUUAUUGAGAAAAAUGAAAAUCUUGAGCAAGAACUGGUAUGAAAAAAUCUCUCUCUUUAAUUAACAAUUUUAGAACGAUAAGAUUAUCUUAGUCAUUUCCAUGAAUAACUAAAGAUUUCUAUGAGAAAUGAAAAAAUCAUAUUGAUACAUAUUUGGUUUCCUAAAUUUUAAAAUGAUUUUGCUUUGAGAUCACAAGAAUUUCCUUAUUCAACUUAUAAAGAGGAGGCAUUCGUAAGCAAUGAGUUAGGCUCAACUUCAACAUGAGAGACAAAAUUCCUUUCUCAGCAUAAUCGCUUGAACAAAGAGAAUUAUUGUUGAGAGAUGUUAACCGAUACCUCGCUAACUCUCUAGUUCAACAACAAUUACUAACUUAAAAAUAUAAAACGCUCCAUAUCAAAAUGAAUAAAUAUAAUGAGCUCAAUAUCCUAAACCCAAUAGACUAUUAUCUAACAGAAGCGAUGUGAUUUUAUCCUAAACAUCGUUAUCUUAGACUAUGCCUUUAUGAGUGAAUCAUUGAUUUAGUCCCUAAAAUCAAUAGCACCAAGCAAUUUCAUAUAUUAAGUUAUUGAAAUUCCAUAAUGAUCUCUAAAGUUGAAAAUUCUUUGAUCACAUUAGUUCUUUAAUGUUGGUCAAUUUACUCCUAAAAACUAUCCUAAAAGCACUAAUGUGAUUGUCGAUUUUCAAUUUUAUAUAUUAUUUUGAAAUUUUACUUAUGAUGAAAAUAACUACUACAAUUUUAGGGAUUAAAUUGUAUGGUUCACUCCACUCAUUUUCCUUGAAUAUAAGUAGCAUAGUUAAUAUGUAUUAUUGCAAAAUCGAGGGAAGCUUUUCUGAAUUGGUUACGUUAAUUCCUUUUCUUCAAGCAGGAGAUGGAGAUAUCUCUUAUAGGACUUCAGAAUGCUGGAAAGACUUCCCUUGUAAAUGCUGUUACUACCGGUGGAUACAGCGAGGAAAUGAUUCCUACAGUGGGAUUCAAUAUGAGGAAAGUAACAAAAGGAAAUGUUACAAUAAAGAUAUGGGAUUUAGGAGGGCAACGUAGGUUCCGUAGCAUGUGGGAACGUUACUGUCGUGCGGUUUCUGCUAUCGUUUCUCUUGUUGAUGCUGCUGAUCCAGAUAACCUUAGCAUAUCAAGAAGUGAACUUCAUGAUUUGCUGAGCAAGCCAUCAUUGAGUGGUAUCCCUUUAUCGGUGUUGGGAAACAAGAUUGACAAGCCAUGGGCUGUGUCUAAACAAGAUUUGACCGACCAAAUGGAUCUGAAAUCAAUUACUGAUAGAGAAAUUUGUUGCUUCAUGAUCUCGUGCAAAAACUCAACCAACAUCGACUCUGUUAUUGACUGGCUUGUGAAGCAUUCCAAAUCAAAGAACUGAGAAACUGCUUUGUGCUUUGAACUUUGAUGUAAUUUUGUGGCGACCCAAUUCUGGAUUUAGUAGUGGCAUUGGAAUGCUAACUCUCAGAUUGGUGUAUAAUUAUGUGGCGGUUCCAACUAUAUACGGCGCCUUUUGUUUGUAUUCUCAGUUUCAUCGGUCUUUGUUCGUCUUGAGCGGGGAUUUGGUUGUUUAAUAAAAUUUGCUGUUUUAAAAAAAAAAAGGUUAUCGACACUAUGAAAGUGACUUUCAUCAAUCCAUCCACUUCCACCGUAAACUUAAAGAUAGGUAACUAAAAAUACCUUAAUUGACCUAACUUCAAAAAUUGCCACAUAUACUUGUUUAGGAUAAAUAAUAAAUUGAAAUUUUUUAAUUUUGAUUUUUCAUAUCACUUUUGUUUUUCUUUUAUAAUAUUUUUACUGAUAAAACAUCAAAACUGAUAGGCUAUGCUACUCUAGCUACUAUUAAACUAAGAAUGCAAAAGAAGAAGAAAAUAUAAAACUUUAUAAGUUUAUUCAUGAAGCAGCCAAGAGGCAUUGUUAUAGCUUUUAUACUUAGGGUUGGUAGCAAGGGCUUAACCUGAUAAAACAUAAUAAAAGCAUAAGAAAUAAAAAUAAGUCCAAAAGUUUAUUGGGGUGGUCUAUGAAUGAUGUAAACAUAAUUGAUGAUAGGUUAUCUUACGUUAUUUUUAGCAUGUUUUUCAGUCAAAUUCAAUAGGUUUUAUCAGCAGAACUGAGGAGUAUUAGAACAAUUGUCUAUAAUUUUGGGUCAUUUGUAAUGUUUUAUAUAUUUGAGUCUGUAAUUCUAUUAUUCCCGAAACAUAGCAAUUCAAAGGUGUUUUUGAUAUGAAGAACAUCAAAAAGUCUUAUAGACAUUGGGAAGAUCAAGAAUGAAGAUUCAAGAGUCAUCAUAAGACUUUACAGAGGGAGAAAUUAUGUUCUUAGGUCACAAUACAUCUUAUAUGGAAGCAAACACCCAAAUGGAUGGAAAAACAGAGAAUUAAGGCUCAUAACACACUUACAUGCGCCUAGGGCAUGAAUCAUACGCCUAGGAAAUGCCUCAUGUACCUAGGGCAUAAGUUGUUCUGCACACUCAUGCGCCUAGGACAUGAGCUGUGCGCCCCGAGCACUGCUUAGUGCGGGCAAAAACAACUUUUUCCUACUUUUUAGCAGGAAAAAGUUCGGUUUUGGUCCCAACUUCAAGUGGAAACUCUCCCUAUAAUUACCUCAUUCCUCAUUCCAAAUUUCUCAUUCAGAACGAAGUGGUUCAAGAGGAAGGCAAACACUAGGAGCUUCCAGGGAGUAGUUUCUCUCUCCUCACUCCAAGUUUCUCUAUGGUAUGUUUUAUUUCUUUUGUAAUUUGUCUUUAGUUACCAUGAGUAACUAAAUAUUUAUAGGCUAGGGUUCUAAGAUGAAACUUUAUUAUAUUUGUUGGAUAAUUAUUUAAUUUAUAGUCAUUUAUUCAGUUAUCUUCUGUCUGUGAUUUAGUUUUACUGUAAUGCGUAAGAUUUUUCUCCUCUAGAACAUAACUCUCAUUUAGGCACUUAGGUAGUGACAUGGCCUAAUAUUGAUAUUUAUAACUUGUUAUUUAUAGAUGCCUAACAAGGAAGUAAUUAGUUAGUAACUAGCGAAAGAAACCGAAAGCGAUUGGACCCUGAUAAUAAUUACUUAGGAGGUGGCAUAACUACUAUUAAGUAAAAUCUGCUGAAAUUAGAAUGUAACUAGUUAGUAAUUAAGGAAACAAAUGACUUCACAACCUAAAUCAGCCUGAUAACUCCAUUCUCCUCGACCUGGGUCAGGUAAAUGCUGAUAGGGUUGCCCGUUUAUAGAACUACCAAGAGGGAAAAUGUGCUAUGUACUUCUAAGACUCAUAGAUGAGAAAAACUUUAGGAACACUAGCAACGAUAUCUUUGGAAAUUUAGGAACGCCAAUUUAAGUAUAUGUUUCAAUUAACACUGAGGGAGUAAGACCCCAUACGUAUGGAUCACCGUGUGGCCAACAAUUGCAACUCAACAGGCGGAGGGAUAGACCGAAAUCAACUGAGAGAGUAAGACCCGAAACAUAAGGAUCAUUGUGCGACCAUCAAGUGCAACUUGACAAACUGAUUAGGCUAUCACGUACCAACGAACUCAUCACUUAGAUAGUCUACUUAGAAUAACAGAACGCGACUUGACUAUUAAAUAAUUCCAACAAAUGAAUAUAGAGGAUCCUAACUGCUGCUAAUAUUUUUGCAAUCAAAACACGUAAACUUUCUCUGUUGCAAACAGAUAAAAAUUGCAAACUCUAAACUCUUAUCUUUUAUUUAUUACUUUGUUUUCAAAUCAGCUUCAAGAAAAAAUGCAUUUGGCGACUUUUAAAAUGACGAAUUGCGACUGUUAGAAAGGUCGCAAAUGUACAUUUGAGACUCUUCCCCAACAGGCGCUAAUGUUGGGGUCGCAUCUGUCUUUUGCGACAAUUCAAGGAACGGUCGUACCAACAGCCGCGACGGGUCAUAACAGUCGCAAAGUACAUUUUGUUUUGUUUGAAAAGGGGUGUUGCGACAGUUCAUAACAGCCGCAAUUCCUUAAAACUAUUUUUUUAAAAUACUCUUUGCGACACUUUCGAAUUGUCGAAAUUUGUGAAAUUUAUUUAAAAAAAGAAUAAUAAAUCAUAAAAUAUGAAUACUAAUUAAUAAAAAAUAUUAACUAAUCCAUAAACUAAAAUUUGAAUUUUACAUUCAUAUAAAAUUAUUUGUGGCGUCAAACACUCUGGACACAACGUUAACUUCCAGAUCAAUACAAAUUUUAUGAUUGACAGUCUAAUCUACAAUGAUGUUUAUAAACUAAAAAAAAACUUAAUUCUUAAUAAUUCUAAAGGUAAUAAGAUGGAGGCCAGUAAAUUUCCCUUCCGUUUGGAUCCAAAUAGUCCAUACAUGAAAGACAGAAACAUAAAAUUAUAGCAAAUAUAGUUUAAACUUUCAACAUUUCAAUACUUGUAUACAUGGUAUAUCCUAUAGAAUUCCUAAAGAAAGUUUAAAAUGAAAAGCCCACACAAUAAAAAACAAACAAGUGAUGACACCAUGAAGGGUAAACAUAACACUUUUAAAUCCAAAUAAUCUUGACAUAACAUAGCAUUUUGCAGACACACAAACAUAACAUAGCAACAGUGUCAAUUGACAUUGAUGAUAAUUCAAAUUGAGUAAAAGUUUCACCAUUAUGAAGAUUAAGACAUUUGUAUCAUAUACCUGGAAUAACUUUCAGAUGGAUACCCUAUUGAAAUAAAAAAAUUUAUUUCCUCACCACACCUCAAAAACAUCUACAUAAUAUCAAACAACAAGCACAAUAAGACAUUCACACUCUUUUGUGACAAAAUGGUCAGAUAAGAUGACGACGCAGCUGCACGCACUAUGUGGCUUAAAGUAACAAGUUCCAAUACAUUUAACUCAAAACAAUGGCCUAGGCAACAGUGUGAAUGGGCAGAUAAGAUGAUGACACAACUGCAUGCACUAUGUGGCUUAAAGUAACAAGUUCCAAUACAUUUAACUCAAAACAAUGGCCUAGGCAACAGGUUAGACAAAUUAAGAAAAGAGUUCAACCAAACUAACUAUCAGCAUACAUCAGUUGUUAUCCAUCAAAUUAAGAGUUUGAUCUACACACAGUUCCAGCAGAAAAUUACACACAGUUCCAACAUAAACUACACACAGUUCCAGCAUACACUAAACGAAUAAAAAAUGUCGACAAGUAAUCAAUUUUAAGAAAUUUGUGAAAACAAGUAGAGAGAGAUUUGUGCAACAGUAUGCUAUGUUUUAGAAAAUCAGUUGUGUAUGCAAAGAAUCAAUUUAACACAUUAGGUCUUGUAUCUCUCCCAUUCAUCCUUUCAUAAGUUUGGUCUAAAAAAUAAGCUAAAACAUGAACAGUUGUGGGUUCAAGUCGAACCGAACCAGUGUUAUGAUUGGGUGAACCCGUUCAUUAUUGUUUUCAAACUGAACUGAAACCAAUUUCACAAGUUGAAUUGCUGUCAAGAACUCGAAGUUCAAUUGCUGUCAAGAAUUAAUAAAGUUAAAUAAAUGUCAACAACUCAUAAAAAGUAUGCAAGAUUACAAUUGCUCAAGCACACAUACAAGAGACUUUCAAUACUCAAGCACACAAGCAAGAGACUUCAUAUGCUCAAGCACAAAAGCAAGAGACUUUUAUAAAACAAAGAUUACAAAGAAUAUUGUUUGGUUGAACACUUAAUAUAAAAUCAGAGGUGUUCAAAAAUACAAAACAGUUCAGACUCUAGAUUUAAGAAUUUCUAAUAUAGGGUCUUGUUCUAAUUUCUAAUUUUUUGUUUUUAACACUUUCUUGGUUUUUGUGAACACAGUUGAAUUGAAUAAACAGAUCUUAUCCUCUUUCCAGAUGUCUAACAAGUCUGAUAAUUAUCUGGCUUUCAAGGUAUUGAUGUUUCUAUGUUGUUUGUUUUUAUAUAGUGUUAUUUACGAAAGGUUAUAAUUUUGAUUUGGAUUGAAAUUGAUGGUGUUGCAACUUGCAGGUUAAGACUACAGUUCCUGAGAAAUAUUGUGUUAGGCCUAAUAUUGGAGUUCUGUUGCCUACGUCUAUUUCUGAUAUUAUAGGUGAAAUAAUUUGCUUGAUUAUGUGAAUAAUCAUUUGCUUACAAAAGUAGAAAGACAUGUAAAGAAGAAUAAUAAUGACAUUUUUAUUUCUUAUUUUAAAGGUAUAUUUUCCUCCAAUCUCAAUUAUAGGAGGAUGAACACAUUGUUAUCCUUAAGUUUUGAUCGAAUAUGUACUCAUCAUCUAAUUAUUCAAUACCUUAUUAUAUUUUUUAAUUUACUAAUAUAAACAUAAAAUUAUAUUUUGAAUAAAUCCUUAUUAUAUUUUUUAAUUUAUUAAUAUAACAUAAAAUAAUAUUUUGAAAUUUUUUUGCAUACGGUGUUGCUACCCAAAGAAGAUGUAGUCUACAAAUCCAAAGAAGUAUUGUUGCCUAGGUCUACUUGUGAUAUUCAAGGUCUUGUUCUCUAUCUUUUUUAGUCUCUCUCAUGCACACAAAAGCACGACGAAAUGCAACGAAGAAUAAUCAAGAUGUUAUAUUUGUUUACAAAUCAUAACAUUUAUAUAAUUGAUUAAAGUUAAUCAUUUUUAGCUAAAUAAACUUCUAAAAUAGUCUUAGCCUUAUCUUUAUAAAAACAAAACAUGGGUUGAACUAAGCCUGAUACCUUAAGCAUUCAAAAGUUGUUCAUGAGUUCUUGUUAGUUUAUGUGUGCAGAAAGUGGUUGUUGUACUACUAGAAAUAUUAGUUAUAUUGUUUUAUUAGGUACUUACAUGUGGUGGCAAAUUACCUUUUUUUAUUUUUUAUUUUUUGGCUUAAUUAAUGAUUUGGUCCCUUAAGUUAUUUAUUGGUUACAUUUUGGUCCCAUAAGUUAUUAAAGUUACAAUUUGGUCCCUUAAGUUAGUAUUUGUUAGCCAAAUAAAUCCUCACCGUCAGUCUUUUGCGAAAACGCUAAAUAAGGACAUGUGAACGGUGGCGUGACAACUUGCAAUAUAUAUCCACCUUAGACGUUGGCUUAACGGUUUUGAUGGUGGGGAUUUAUUCGGUUGCUGGAAGAUAACCUAAAGGAAUUAAAUUGUAACGUUAAUAACUUAGAGCACCCACAUCCAUGCCACUCUACAUGGGUGGUAUAAAUGGGUCCCAGUAAUACUUUAUAUUACUUCACACUUUUCAAUUAUUUAAACCACUCAACUACAUUUUCUAAACAUCCAUACCAUUCUUACAAAACUUAUAAUGGGUCCCACUAAUCUUACAAAAUGUGUGUGAGGAAGAGAAAGAAUUGCUUUAAGACACAAUGGUAGAAUUUGGAACCGUAGCCAAGAAAAGAUACCAACUGUUAUGCAAUUAUCCAUGCCUUUCCUGACACUAGUAGCCACACGUGGACCUUAUGUGCCAAAAGACACUGCCGAUAUUUGUGCUCUUAUGGGACUAAAAUNNNNNNNNNNNNNNNNNNNNNNNNNNNNNNNNNNNNNNNNNNNNNNNNNNNNNNNNNNNNNNNNNNNNNNNNNNNNNNNNNNNNNNNNNNNNNNNNNNNNUUGAUCGUAACCCAUAUAUAUAAUAUAAAAUAUUUCUAUAACAAAUAACAAAUAACAAAUAUAUCUCUAUAACAAAUAUAUUUCUAUAACAUAUAUAUUUCUAAACCAAAUAGCAUAUAUAUUAUACUAAUAAAUACCAACAUAUAACAUAACAAAAUAUCACUCAUCAAAAUAAAUCAUAUAAAUCACACAAAUCAUAUAAGUAUAUUCUAAACUCAUUAAAAUAAUCAAAUAAUUAAAGAGGUGUUACAAUUUUCGUGUUCAUUUUUCAUACAUGCAUUCAUCAUCAAUAACGUUGUCAUCAUGCAUGCAAUGCUUCAUCAACAUAAAUCGUCAUCAUCAUCAUAAUCAUUAUCAACAACAAUCAACUAAAGAAUCAACAAAGUUCCAGACUAAAGAAUCAACAAUUCUAGUCGUCUUCAUUGGAUAUAAAUAUCCUACUUAUGAAUGCAUGAACAUACGACUCCACAAUGCAUACGCUCAACAAAAAAUCGUCAUCAUUUUCGUCUUCAUUUUUCAUACAUGCAUUCAUCAUCAAUAACGUUGUCAUUAUGCAUGUAAUGAUUCAUCAACAUAAAUCAUCAUCGUCAUCAUAACCAUUAUCAAUAACAAUCAACUAAAGAAUCAACUAAGUUUCAAACUCACAUUUUGCACAAAAGACAGACAGUUAUCCACAUCAUGACAUUCAUCAAAUUAAACACCGACUCAUCCUUGAUUCAUUCUUAUUAUAAAAUAUCAUCAUGAAUAUAAAGUCAAUUGCAAGUUAUUCGGUCAUAAAACCUCAUUUCAACAAAGUUCGUCUAUUUUCAUAAAAUCGACCAUUUUCAAUUUUACCAACCAAAUUAGGGUUCCAAGUUCUUACAUACCAUUAAGACAUCUCUACAUAUCAUCUAACAUCUUAGUUAAUCAAUCAUAACAAGUUCAGUUCACAAAGUUCAACUAGUUCUCCAAAAUUGCAAAGUUCAUCUCCUUUUUCUUCAUGUUUCAAACUCAAUUCAUUUCUAGGUAAAAUCAAGUUAAAACACUUCUAAAGAACAAAUAUUCAUGAUUAAUCAUUUAUUCACUAUAAAUACUUCCUCAAAUUCAAUAUUAAUUUUGAAGAUGUUUCAUGGUUUAGUGAAAAUGUUAUGAUAUAGUUUCAUGAAAAAGUGACACAUGACCUAUGCGAAGUAAUUUGACCAUAAAUCAAGUUAUAGAAAACAUUUUGAAGUUAGACUAAACCCAUUAUAAAUAUAACAUACAUAUAUAAAACUUUCAUGUUUACAACUACGGCUGAAUCGAUUCAGAUCUUAUUGAAUCGAUUCAAAACAAGUUAGAGAGAAACCAUGAUACGAUUCAAAAUUUCUGAAUCGAUUCAAAGCUGCCCAGAUACAGAAUGAUGCAAUUCAAACUUUCUUGAAUAAAUUCAAUGGCCUGGAAAACACAAUUUUAGCUUCGGUUUCAUCCCCAAAUCAUCCCAAAAAUCCCUAUUUUGAUUUCCAACAUACCUAAAACGAUAAAAAUCAUUUUCCAAAGUUCAUUCAGACGUUUUUCACCACAAUACAAAACAACUUAUACUUCAAUUUACCUAAUUCAUCAAGGUUACAACAACAACAACUUACACACAACAACACAUAUAUCACAAUCAAUUCAUGAAUCAUCAUCACCAACAUAUACCCAUCAACAAUCAUAGCAUAUAAUUCAUGAACUCGUCAGUUUUCAACAACAUCUUCAUUUUCAUAAAUUUAAGUUAAAACUUCAAAGCUAUCAUUUCAACAUACAUGAAGUUUAAGUAGCCACAACAAGAAUUCAAAAAAUUUCAUAUACUCAAAUUUAUUGCAUAGUCGUGAGCACGAAAUUCAACAUUCAAAAUCACAAAAAGUCAUAAUUCACCAUAAGUACCUAUUCUCAUAAUUGAAAAGAUGAAGGUUGUAACUUAAUUAUGAAAAGGAUAUACCCCCCUUACCUCUAGGUCUUGAAUUCACUAACUUAGGCUUUAAUUUAGUUCCUAGCUCUUCAAACCUCAAGCUCUCCCUCUAGCUUCCUCUUCUUUCCUCUUGCGAUCUACUUUCUUUCUCUACCUCUUAUGUUUUUGUGAAAUAAAAUAAUGAAUGGCUUAACCUAAUUUUCUCAUAAGAGUUAUGCUUAUAUAGUCACCUCUUAAUUUGGCUAGGUUUCUAAUUGUAACGCCCACUUUCGUUAACUGUUUAUUUAAUUGAGUUUAGGCGAUUAUAUUAUAUUUAUAUAAUAUAUGCAUGAUUAUGGUAUGAUUUGAAUGAUUUACGUUUAUGUUGAUGGUUUAGUUGAUAUUGUGAUGAGUUAUGAGUUUUGGAAGAUUUGAUAAGAUUAAGGGAUUUAUUUUAUUGUUAAAUAAAAUAAAGAUUUGAAAAUAAUAUAAAAUAUUUAGUUGAGGGCUGUUUUGAUAUUUUAGAUAGUUUUGGGGGAGAAAGUGAGAUAAGAUAAGUAAUUAAGAGGAGAUAUAUAAAGGUUAGACCUAGUUUUAGAAAAACAUUGUUGUACGUACGUUUUUGGAGAAAAGGGAGAAAAAGCCAAGAGAAGAGAGAAUCACUAGGAGUGCUGCGAUUUUCUUCAUACAAGGUAAGGGUGAGACUAAUAAUUCAAUAAUGUUAGUUGUUGUAAUUCUGAUGAUUAAUUGACCAAGUUAGGAUUGAUUUAGAAAAGUUUUGGAAAUAGGUCAAAACCCUAAAAUUGAUGAUAAAACGGUGAGAAUUGUUUAGAUUGAUGUAAAAACUAUCCUAUAACCUUAGAAUAUGUUUAGGACGAAUUCUGGAUGUGAAAUUAGGCUUAGAACCUUCUUAGAUGAUGAUUUUGUGUAGAAACCAGAUUCUGCCCGUAACGACAUUCAUCGCUCGCCUCUCGAGCAAUGAUCCUCGCCAUGGCGAGUGAUGAACUUCAUCGCUCGCCACGCGAGCCAAAGCCCUUCGCCUCGCGAGUUACUUAGUGUAGCUCGCCACGGCAAACAACCCCUCCUCGCCUCGCGAGCUAAGGCAGAGAGCAUGUUAGAUUUUGUGUUUUCGACUUUUUAGUUGGACCUUGAGUGCCUUUGAGUGCCUGAACAUACCUAGUAAUGAAUAGGGAUGAAUGUAGGACAAGCCUGAACCCAGAACAACUUUAGUUUGGGAUUUGAGUGGUACUCGCCAUGGCGAGUGAGAACUCUCGCCUCGCGAGUAUGACCAGAAUGUAGGUUGUUUGAGUGUAGUGCGAUCUGUGUCGCACGUAUUGAUCAAGAGUGAACCUCUAAUUGGUAAUGAAACCUAGUGAUGAUGUCUACUGCAAUCUGUGAAGCCUUUUAAGACAAGUGGUCAUUAAUUGAGCGUGAUUAAUGUGUUGUACAAUUAUGUAAGAUAUGAAAGUUUAACUAUGAUGCAUUGAUUUGCUAUUGAUAUAAUGAAAUCAUCCUGUUAUGUGACUUGACUAUGCUGCUGCUGUUGUUUAACUAAGUGCAUUGUAUAUAUAUAUAUAUAUAUAUAUAUAUAUAUAUAUAUAUAUAUAUAUAUAUAUAUAUAUAUAUAUAUGAUGAAAUGAUGACGUUUAGCUCCAAAUUAUUGGAUGCAUGUUGAUAUGUUGAAUACGGUGAUUUGUUCAUAAGAGUCCAUGCAUAGCAUUUCAUUGAGCUUAGUCCUCACCACGAUUAUUAGGAGCUUUGUCCUCCGCACGAUUUAUAGGAGCUUUGUCCUCCGCACGAUUAAAGUAUAUUAAUACUUAUGAUGACAAUUGGUACCACAUGCAUAUAAGGAGUCUAAGAGCAUUGUCACAUUGUCAUGUCCAUAAUGCUAUGUUGUUGAUAAUGAAUAUGUGAUUACGUGAUAAGUGUUUAUCAAAUAAGUUAUGUUGUUCAUGAUAAUUGAAUAUAUGAUUACGUGAUAUCUGUUUAGCAAUUAUGCAAAGUUGUUAAAGAAAUGAUUAUGAUGUCAACUUAUGAUUCGCAAUUACAUUGAUUAAUGUUAUUUUGUUAUGAAAUCUCACCCCUUCUGCUUGAAAAUGUUGCCCUUCGUAUGGGUAACUUGCAGGUGAUCGUGCUUAGUGUGCAGUUGCCGUCGUGAGUGGCCUUGCCUUCACUGUGUCGUCUAGGUCGCUCUGAUACGUAACGGGAUGGGGUUUAAUGUUAUACAUGCUUCAUUCUCUUACGUGACUAAUAUGUUAUUUUUAUAAUGUUAUGGAUUACGACAUGAACUGUUUUGAUGGGGCCUACGUGCCAAACUGAUUUAUGGAUUAUGAAUCAAAUUCCGCUGCAAUGUUCACGACUUUUGGUUAAAUUACUAUUUAAUUGUUUUGGAUCAUGUUAUAUGUGAUAUCCCGUUGUUUAUGAUGCUUACUCUGAUAUAUGUUUAAGAAAUUUGUAUAUUGGGAAAACGGGGUGUUACACUAAUUGUCAUAAUGGGCUCAACAUCCUUACUAACUAAUUCGCAAAAGUUAAUACUCACUUAAACUGUUAAAACACCGAAUAAUUAACAUCUCUAAAUAAUUACCCCAACUCACUAGUAACUUAGUAAAAAUAAUUAUUCUCACUAAAACUCCAAAAGUAACCUUCUUAAUAAAAAUGACUAAUUUACCCUUACUCGCCAAAUGACCAAAAUACCCCUUAGUUUAAAAAUGACUAAAAUACUCCGCUAGGCCAAAAAUCCACUAAUCCUACUUUAAAUACACACAGAGACAAUUAAUCAAACAUAAACAUAUAGAAACAAACAUAAUAAACAAUUAAAUUAAUUCUAGCUAAAAACAGGUUGUUACACAACAUCCUGGGACUCUAGUCAGGUUGUACAUAGUACACAUACGUGGGGCUAGUCUGUCCAUUUCUUAACAAGGAAGCAUAUGAGAUGUCCCCAAUGAUUGGAUUCCUAAGAAGAAUAAAAGAAUAUGCUAUUUGGUAGGUAGGAUUGGAUAAGGACGGAUGGAUAAGAACAGCCCAUGUAAAAUGACCAAAGGGUACAACUUGUAGUGGGUUGCCUUGUACUAUAAAAGGGCACCCGUGUGUUAGUGUCAAGGGUCUAAAAAUUCACCUUAGAAUUGGAAAGGUCAGGUUACGACUAGGGUUAGCAGCUUUAGAGAUCUCAUUCCAUCUCAUCUUCUAACAUAAAUGAGCAUGGUAUAUAGAUCCCAGAGUUCUUAUACUAGAUUACUUGGUGAUGCUUUGCCUCACCUUAUUCCUUCAAGGAUUGUAAUCUUGCGACAACUCGAUCUAUUCUAUUAAUUUAGUUUUCUAUGUUUUCAUUUGUUUCCAUCUUCAUUUCCAUUUCUAUGGUUCAGGUCACCACGAGCUAAACCCCUUUAAAUGGUUUAGACAUGGCGAGGUUAUGAUUUAUUAAUUACUUAUCAUAUAUCAAACUGUAGCAUUGUGCUUUGCUCUGAUAAACUGUUUUUAUUGUAAAACCAAUAGAAGUGAUUCCUGAUAAGUUUUCCUUCUAAUGAUAUAGCUCGUUACCCUGAUGAAGUAAGGAGCAGAACCUGUUUACUUGAUACGAGUUAGCCCUUACCAACAGAGUGAAAGAGGACAAGACACCUGAAUGUAAAACUAACGUUAUAGGAGGCUAUAGCUUGGUGAAUCUCAUUUAGCUUAAGAGGUUAAUAAACAGCCGUAACACUGAAUGACCAUAGCCAUACCACAUUAUAACUUAGUAUUACAUUUUUUUAAUGUAUUUUUGACGUAUAUCAAUGAGGAUCUGAAUUAAGCCGCACAUAAGAGCGAAAAAGGGCAAGACUCCUCCAUUAAAUAAGCCAUAAAGCCGGAGUUUAAAUAUAUAGCUAAAUGAAGCUAUAUCUAUUUGAAGCUAUAGCUCCAUAGUCUAUAUGGGAUCGAUAUCUUUUUAUACUUGAAUUUGGAUAGUGUAUACUUGCACUUAGUCUUUCAAUCUUAAAAUACUUCUAAUGUUUUAGGUGACAGCACAAAUGCCUUUUGGGAUGGCCUGCAGAAAAAAGACGUCGAAUUUAAAUCUUACAAAUGGAAUGUGAACUUAUUUCACCACCGAGUGAAAAACAUAAAAAGCUUAGGAAUAAAUAAGUUAAUUCAAUAACCUGCACAUUUUAGUAUUGUAAAAUUGUGCUUAGGAGUAAGUUAAGCGUUAGUAUACGCAAGGGACACUAUAAUUAAAGAAUAAAGCCAUAUUUCGUAUUUCAACUCAACUCUUGCAUGUUUGGAGUCACACCCUGUCAGACACAAUCACAUCGUGAUUUUAUAGAAGUUCUAAAGUGUAGUUUUUACUCUACAAAAUAAAGAGAAAUUCCAAAAAUGCCCAAAAGCAUUUAACUCCAGCUCAAUAAAUGGGAGGUGAAGAGGGUAUUUUCCAUGAACAAUGGGUCAGCAUGACACACAACCACACUUACUAGUAAUUAGAUAAUCAUCAUCAAACAAGUUUAUUUGCAAACAAAAUGCAGCAUACCAGCAAAUACCUUUGACACAGUAAACACUCCAUUGAAAUCAUCAUCAAAAAAUUAAACAAAAUGAAUCAAAGUGAGAAAAUCGCGAAAGAAUUUAGAGUGAAAUGAUGGAGAACAAUAAUGGUAAAACAAUUGAGAUCAUAGGGUUAAGAGGGAUACAUGUUACAGAAGGGAAUUGUGCUUCAAUUUCAAUUAUGCAAACUCAAAUUCACAUGCAUGCUACAUAUCCUCUCAUCCCCUACAUAUUAUUUCUUUAUGCAAACUCAAAUUGCUUUUGUUUUUUUCAAAAUCAUGAUUCUGGUGAAGAUGGUUUUUAAAACACGAUAAAACACACAUGCCUUUGCCUUUAAUUUUACCUUCCACAACUUUCUAGAGAUCCAAAGCACUUCAAUGAAAUAUUGAAUUAUUCAUAAAGUUAUUCAUUAAUGAAUUGAUUGGAGAAUUAUCAAAGAUGAAACUUCAAUAUUAUAUGCAUGGAGAUUCUAUAGUAAAAUACUUAGGACGAUUCAAGAGUUUCCCAUCACUAUUCAAGAUAAGAAUAGAAAUCAAGCAAAGCAAUUUCGACAUUGAGAAAGGUUUUUCAUGUCUCUAAUAGAACAUUCUCGUCACAGAAUAAUCCUUGUGAAGACGAUAAUCUUAAUACUAAAUUACUUAAGCAAUUGGUGCACUUGCCAGAUUUAUCAUCAUCUUUCAAAAUUUUGUUUAAACAUAGUAUUGUUUUCGAUUUUAGACAAGAUGGUUUUGACUUAAAACUAGUAAACACACUUAAAAACUAACCUUUUUUUAUAGAUUUUUUCUACCUACAUUAUACCUAAAAGUGAACAAAGUCUUCCAUUUCAAUUUUGGCGAUGUUGAAUUUAUGAUAUUUUCAAUGUACUUCACCAAUUUCAACAUAACUAUUAAACUUAUUAUUAUAGGUGUGAUGUGUCUAGAUUGCAAACCAUGGUGAUAUCUCAAAAUUUACGAGACAAGGAGAUCCUAUAAAUAAAACUCUUUGCUUCCUGAUUUCAUUUCCAUCAACCUAGAAUACAAAGUCAUAACUUCAAGGUUCUUAAAACUAGGGAAUAACAUAAGAAGAAAAUAAUAAUUAUUGAGUGCAUCAACAAAAAUUAAAUGACAACAAGUGGAAUAUUCUAGCAUAAGGUAUAUUGUAGAAUUCUCUUGAUAGAGAAAGAGAACUCAUUUAUCUCAUUAUGAUGUUUUAGAUCGCUACACAUUUGCCUUUACGACACCUAACAUUAACUUUAUGAAGUUUUGGACAAUCUUUAUCUGUUUUACAAGCACUGUCAAUAAUCUCACUAAAAGAAGAAUUAGAUACUGCUAUGCAAAGAAAUAUAGAAAAAAAUAAAAUUAUAACAUAAACUAACUUCAGAGUUUCAACCAUAUUUUUUCCUAUUUGCAUCCAAAUAAUAGUAAAUGACUUGAUCUCUUUAUAAUGUAUAGUAAAGUUCAUGGUCUUAGAGAAAUAAUUAAAUAGUUUAAGCAUUAUAAAAUUUU
rnacentral:lncRNA from 1 species